rnacentral:lncRNA from 1 species
UGACAUGUAGAUCAGCAUUUGGGCAAGUACUAAAGGAGCAAGAAGUAUUUAUAAAGUUAAUUAGAGAAGUAAUAAGCUUAACAGAAGGAUUUGAUGUGGCUGAUAUCUUCCCUUCAUACAAAUUUCUUCAUGGUUUUGGUGGAGCGAAGAAACAACUUCUAAAUGCCCAUCGUAAGGUAGAUUCAAUUGUUGAGGAUGUCAUCAAAGAGCACAAGAAGAACCUUGCAACUCGCAAAAGUGACGAUUCAAUAGGUGGUGAAGAUCUAGUUGAUGUCCUUCUAAGACUUAUGAAUGAUAAAAGUCUUCAAUUUCCAAUCAACAACGACAAUAUCAAAGCUGUUAUUAUUGUAAGUAUUCAAUAUAUACUAUGCUUAUUCUUACUUAUUUAACUAUCGCAAAAAAAAAUUAAUAUUGUAACUUGCCAUUAAUUGCAGGACCUGUUUGCUGCUGGAACAGAAACUUCAUCAACAACAACUGUAUGGGCUAUGGCUGAAAUGUUCAAAAAUCCAACUUUAUUAUCCAAAGCUCAAGCAGAAGUGCGAGAAGCUUUUAGAAACAAAGUAAAGUUCGGUGAAAAUGAUGUGGAAGAUCUGAAAUACUUGAAACUAGUCAUUAAGGAAACAUUGAGAAUUCAUGCACCAAUUCCACUUUUGGUCCCAAGAGAAUGUAGAGAAGAAACUAAAAUAAAUGGCUACACUAUCCCUAUGAAGACCAAAGUCAUGGUUAAUGUUUGGGCAUUGGGAAGAGAUCCAAAAUAUUGGGAUAAUGCAGAAAGCUUUAAACCUGAGAGAUUUGAAGAGUGCUCUAUGGACUUUGUUGGUAACAAUUUUGAGUUUCUUCCCUUUGGUGGUGGGAGAAGGAUUUGUCCUGGAAUAUCGUUUGGUUUAGCUAAUAUAUAUUUGCCGUUGGCUCAAUUGCUUUAUCACUUCGAUUGGAAACUUCCUACUGGAAUAGAGCCAAGAGACUUAGACUUGAUUGAAUUGUCUAGAAUAACUGCUUCUAGAAAGGGUGACCUUUACUUAAUUGUCACUCCUUAUCAACAGUAAUGGUUUAAAAUUUCCUUUGCCAUUUCACUCUUGUGGCAUCCCCCCCACCCCCCCCCCUCCCUCCUUGGUGUUUUAGGUUUUAUCUAUUUCUAGUGCAUGCAUCUUUUUAUCAAAUAAAAAGACCAAAAUUACUUGUUCCAUUUUAAUGUGGGAACAAAAUAAGGCAGCAACUAAUUUGGCAGCCACACUUGUAGAAAUUAAUAGCCACAAAUGUGAAAGUUGGCAGCCACAUUUGUGGAAAUUGGUAGUUAGUUUUUUGUAGAGUUUGACAGCCAAACUUUGUGGAAAUUGACUGCCACCUUUGUGACAUUAAUGAUGUAAUCAAGAGGUUCAAAACUCUAUCAAUAAAGUAAUAAUUGAACAUUUGAUGAUGCACCAAAAUAAAGAAAGUACUAUAGAGUAGAGAGAGUAAUCUACAGGCUAUUAGUUUGUGAGAAGAUAGUGUGGAAGUAAUAUUAUUGUGAGUUGUAAGAAAUAAAAUAGUGUUAUUCUUAUAUAAGAGUAAUAGUUUUUUGACACUACCAAAUUUUCAUCAAUAUCAAUGUAUUACUUAUUCGUGUAUCAUAUUUAACCCAAUUUAAUAUUUGAUGUCGUUGUUAUUCUCUUGCUAUUGCUAUUUAGCAUGGAUAAUAUCAUGGGUGUGAUUAUCAUUUUGUCCAACAACGUGGUAUCAAAGACAUGACAAAUAACAGUUCGUUGUCCUUUCGGUACCCCUUUCUCAUAAGAGAAAAUGAUGAAAAAUGGUGUCUACGAAUGAAAGUAAUUCUUGGCUCUUAAGAUGUUUGAGAUAUUGUAGACAAAAGGUAUAUAAUACCUAUUAGUGAGGAAACUUUAUGUCACGCCCCAAGCCUAGACUCUGAAUGUGACCAGCACUCGAGAAUCAUUUAUGAUCCCCAAGUGAACGCUUGGCCUGACUACCUACUUAGCGGAAGACCCACUCAAGCAAUAAUAGGCUAAAAAAGAAUUUGUUCUCAAAAUACAAUUCAACUCAAAUAAUGAAAGUACUCAUUGCAAUAAAUAUAAUAGUUUGCAAAACAUCUUUAAAGGAAAGGAAAUACUGAAAGGCUCCUCGAUGCUAACUAUCUAGAAGCCUCUAUUACUCAAGAUGGAUGUCAGAAAAAGAACCACGAUAUCUCAAGACAACUGACUAGAAAAUAAAUGUGAAGUCCCCCGAAAUGAAAUGAGGCUCACCCAAGCUAUCUGAAGUACAAAUUGAUCUCAACAACAUGUCAGUUGAUGAUCCUGGACACCUGUGUCUGCAUUAUAAAAAGAUGCAGGUCGAAUGACAUCAGUACAUUGAACUGAACUCAAUGACUGGAAGCAACUCAACUCAAUCAAUACAUGAACAUGAAGUGAAAACCAUUUAAGCUUUACAAUAAUAUAUGCAAUAAAAGUAAUAGGAAACUAAUAUAUUUUACUUUAUGGGGAGUUUCUCUAACUGACAACCAUUACUAUGAGCCUAUCAAUGAUACACCGUUUCACCCACGUUGCAAGGGCCAUCCUAUACCUUGCCGGGGUAUAGGAUACUACUAUAACUAAGGAUCCAUCUAAUAGGCCUUCUCAGAGGAAGUGAGGAGUCACACGAUAAAUAGGUGCGAUCCUAUCCUAUGUUGCUACGUAGUUUUAUGAGACAUGAGUUGAAAAUAGAUUCUUACCCAAUUCGGUGCUUGAUACUACUCCCAAAAUAUUAAAUAUUCUUUAUGCUCAAUCACCUUUUACAAAGAAAAGGACUAUUACUUUACUUUUUACUUUGCUCAAUCACCCUUUCAAAGAAAGGGACUAUUACUUUACUGAAGUACUUUUCAAAAACGUCAAUCACACCCUUUCUUUUUCUCAAAUGUCAAAUAGUAGAUAUGAAACCAUUUGUUUCUUUCUUAAAAGACACUGUUCAAAACUUGCAUUUAAAACAUAUACUUACGAACUUAUCUUUCAAGUCCAAGAUCGAUAUAUAAAAACUGAAAACUCUUAUAAUUUUCUAAAAAUAGUUCUCUCUUUUUCAAUAUAAAAAUGAUACAUUCGGAACCCUUUAAGUUUCCUUAAACUCUUUUUCAAAAUAAUGCUUUUAAACUUUUCUAGAAAACUCACUUUAAUUUUCAAAAUCAAUGUAAGGAAAAUUACUCGCUCAAAAUGCUUUUAGUAAAAAUCAAUAUAUAUAGAGUUCAUAUGAAACUACAAACAUGAACAAUAAUUCAAGAAUUUCAAUGCAUAAAGUAUCGCAAUCUCAUAAUAUAGGAAUCUCAUAGAAAUGAGGGAAGAACCUUAGAUUCAACUUUCUACUAGCUGAAUUAGGAUGUAGGGCAUGAAGUCGAACUAUCCCAACACUAUGAAUAGUCAUACAUACCUGAUUAUGAAGCUAUUAGACUGAAAGCUUUUGUGGAGACUUGAUUUUAUCUUGAACUAGAGGAAGAACGUUAGGUUUUUUGGAAGAAAUCUUUGAUCUUGAUGUUGAUAAAAGAAACUCUUUUAAGAAGUUCUUAGAGUGGAAGAACAUGGGAAAACCUUGGGUGGAAUAAUUCUCUUUGUAUCUUUGAUUUUUGACUUGGAAGGUUUUAGGGUUCUUGUUCUCCAAGAACCCUAGGUAAGUUUUAAGAAAAUUUCUAAAUUCUUGAAUGUUUAGAUUGAUUAUUUUGAGAGAAAAACUAGUAAGUUGAAUGAUAUACUUAGUUAAAACCCUAAAAAACAACUUAGAAUAGGGUUAGAAACGACAUAGGGGAAAGGCCAAAAUGACCCCAAUAUAAAAACUAGAACAGUGCCUUAUAAGAAAAGUUUCAUGGACCGUUUAAGGCUCCAUGGUCCGUGAAACACUUCACGAGCCAUAUAGUGGUCCAUGAACCUUUGACUGUCUGAUAGGACCCUCGAACUUGAAAUAAUGUAAACUUGAUGGUGUUGAAAAGAGGAUUCAAAGACCUUUAAUUUUAUAGGUCAUGAGUCACCUAAUUCAUAAUGUGCUAAGAGAUAUGAUAGUUUGAAAUUGACCUAUGUAGAAUCUUACGUCAAAACUUAAUCAGUAAGGAAACUUUCAACUCAACUUUGUGCUACGGGAUUCUAGUGACCUUAAUUGAUAUCCAAAAUCAUUGCCACACUAAUGAAUUGACCUUAGCAUCUAAGAAAAAUUAAGAAUCACUCGGUUUGACCUUAUACACAAUUCAAGAAUGGUUCGGGUCUUAACUUAGAAAUUUUUGGGGUGUUACAAUAUCUCCCUCUUAGGAUCAUUCGUCCUCGAAUGAUGGUAAAGUUGAGAAUGGAAGGGAAAAGAAUUACUAUCACUACCUCUCUUUACUUCUGAGCUUACCUACUAACAUAGGUAAAACUGAUUGAUACAAAUAGUUUGAAACUGUCUAUAGCACAUAAGUCAAGAACGAUAUUUUUUUGAACAUAACCCCACUCUAUCUGAAGUUAUCUUACAUGAAAAAAGGUAUCUGGGCAUGAAUAAGACUAUUAUGCCUUAAGUAGUACAAUAUCUAGCUUUCAAGCCUAGCAACACCUCUAAACCAUGACCUCCUUUAUGAAUACUGCACCUCAUUAGCUGCAACUCAUAACUCCUACAAUAGUUUAUGACUACUCUUACCAAGGUCUAAGUUAAAUUGUAUGCUCUUAAUAUGUUCAAGCCUAAUCUCCAAAUCACAAGAUGCUAAACAUGAGAUGUUUAUACUAAUCUAAACCACAAGAUCCAGGUUUUAUUCCUCUAUAGGAAAUCUCAUCCCAUAAAUACUUCUCCUCACCACUACAUUCAACCAAACUUUGAGUCCUAGUCAAAAAGCAUCAAAUACAUCAUGUAUUCAUCCACAUGUAACCAUACCACAUUCAAACUUAGUACUAUAACCAAUCCAUGGAAUCCAACUAACCAAUCCUUCUAAGAAUUCCUCCUCGUUUCGUCAUCUUUAUCAACUAAAAUAACACACAUUACUAUCAGGAACUAACUAACUACACUCACCUAACUAUUACUCAUAGUAAAACUUUAGUCAUCCUUCCUCCACUUUUAUAACCUUAGAUGGAAUAAGCACACUACUACUACCAACAUGAGAAACAUCAACCUUCUCCUUCUAUAAACACUCAACUACUAUCAUCAACAUCACUCUCUAACUAAAAAGGAUCACUGAAAGAACUUUAGGACGAAAGAUCAUAAGCACGAUUUAUUCGAGAAUUCUGAUAUAAGAAUAUGCAUGACAUACCAUUAUGUUGCAAGCCAUUGAGAGUAAAUCAUGAAUUCAUGAGACUGAGCAUACUAUGAGACACGAGUGCUUAUAUGAAUAGGUUCAUAUCAUGAGGUUGAUAUCCAUAACUUUAUGUAGUAAAUAUUGAGAUCAAUGGGCUAAAGUUUUUACCCCUCAUUCGGGGAACUGAGCAUAGAUGUAAAUCUGUCUGAAGUGUAUGAGCACAAGUUAUGGACACAAUUAUGAUAUUAGAAACAUCAAUAAGAUAUUGGAAUGACUGAACUUUGAGAAAUAUCCAAUAUUAUGAAUGGAUUGAUAUUUCUCUAAAACUUUGUCUAAACACAUCGCUAUCUGAUUCUCAAGACUUGACUUGGUUUCUCAUCUUAUCAUCUCCCCUUAGGUCUGAUGCUGAUACUUUAAAGUUAUGGAUCUAUUCCAUCAUCUCUAUACUAAUCUAUAUUCAAUUUACUCUAAUACUCAAGAAAGACUAAUCCCAUGGCUACUGAACUCUCCAUAUGCAGGUACUAAGAUUCAUUCUAAGACCUCUUUCUCAUAUGCUUCUCUUAACCUCUCCAUGCUUCUAUAGAAAUGUUUCUAUAAUCGUUACCCGUAUUGACUAUAUGAUCCCAUCGACCAAACUUUCAAGGGUACUAAAUAAUUCUUACAUCACCCUACCCCACAUUGACAACUCAACUAUACUAUCUAGGCACACAUGAAAAAUAUCGUAAACUUAAUUAAAACCUUGUCGGCCUACAUAUGAUCUCGGGUACACUUCUUAAUGCUCUUGCUGAUCUAAUGACUUAGUCAUACUUCAUUGCUCUCAUAUAAAAGUCAUAAUAUCACACUUGCAUCACUCACAUUUAUCGAACAGUAACACCUUAAUUCCUCACCUAAUUUAUGUCAAACCUACUAGAUCAGAUCUUUAAAACUAACAUCAUCACACUCAUAUUGCCAUAUUUUUCUUAUCACAACACUCAUCUCAAAUUCAAGCUUAGUGUCUAGUACUAAACACAUAUCUAAAUACAAUUGUUCACAUAUUAUACUAACCUAUGACUACUAGAUAAAAUUAAUAAACACCCUCCCACUAAGAUCUCAUGGCAAGUAGUCAAUAUUUAUCUCUCAGUCUACAUACUUACAGUUUACCGUCACAUUCCAUUUCACACCUUAAGUACUAUUUACCCAUUCACUAUACAUAAUUGCCUAAUUAGUUCUAUAACCCUCUGAAUAUCAUGGGGAUCUCCCUUAAAAAUCAUGAACCUAGCUUAGAUCUAUCACCUUAUGACUACUUUAAUAUUUUAUUCAAUGCAUAUACUUGGUCGUCACUAACAUAAUGGGACAUUAACAUAAACUCCCUUCUGGUUAAAGUUUACUCUAACUCAUCCUGACUAUCAAUUAUUACUCUACGUUCUAUCAUGAAAUCUACAUAAACUCGUCACUUUUUAGUCUACCCAUAAGGAAAACUCCUCACUAAUAACUUACUGGGUGCAUGACUGCAACAAUAUAAUUUAUCUCAUCACUAUCUCCCUUUCUUAGAUUACUAUACCUAUGCAUGCAUUCUUCUAACUUUGGGCACUCUACUACUGUGACUCAUAAUAUCGUAACUCAUACAAUCCUUUCGAAUGACAACACUAUCCAAACUCUACAACAUACUUCCCUCUUUAAGGGUAUCACCUGAAAUAAGGCUUAGAGAGGAGAGUCUGGGAGUACAUCUUGCUUUUAGCUCAAACGCACGAUUCAUAAGAAUAAUAGUGCAUUCUUGUGAACCUAAACACUUAAGCUCACUCACGGGCGUCUCCAUUUUACAGUUUCAUGACUUUCUCAAGACUUUUGCAGAGAGUAACUCAUCGAUAAGGAUAUGCACUUUUCUUUUCAACUACCUUGAGUAUGAGGGAUAGUCGAAUGGAUCUAAGAAACGCACGAGUAUGAAUAAGUUGCUUAUGACACAAUUCUAUUGCACGAUUUAGAGUUUGAAAGAAGAGAAACUUUUCUUAAAUGUCUUUAGUCCCUCAUUUUUAGAAGUGGGGUCCUCACAACCAUAAAUAAGAUCAUACUGACAUGACUUCAUAGACACCCUAAGAUACUUGAACUAUGUGCUUUGAUACCAAUUUUGUCAUGCCCCGAGCCUACACCCUAGACGUGACCGACACACUAACCAUUUUUGAUCCCCAAGAAAACCCUUGGCCUAGAUUACUAUUUAGCGGAAAACUCACUCAAGCAAUAAUAGUCUAAAAAGAAUUUGAUUUCAAAAUACAACUCAACUCGAACAUCUGAAAGUACUCAUUGCAAUAAAUAUAAUAGUUUGAAAAAUAUCUUCAAAUGAAAGGAAAUACUGAAAGACUACUCGACUCUUUCUAUCUAUAAGGCCUCUAUUACUCAAGAUGGAUGUCGUGACAAGAUCCACGACAUCUCAAGAAAACUGACUAGAAAAUAAAUGUGAAGUCCCCUAGAAUAGAAGAAGGCUCAGCCAACCUAUCUGAAGGUUAAAGUGAUCUCAAUGAUGCAUGUUAAAUGACAUCAAUACAUUGAAUGACCGAGUAUGUAAAAUGGCUAAAUAAACCAAUAACUGAACUCAAGGACUGGAAGCAACUCAAUUGAAUUAAUGCAUGAACAUGUAGUGAAAACCAUUUAAGCUUUACAAUAAGAUAUACAAUAAAAACAAUAGGAAAAUAAUAUAUUUUACUUUGUGAGGAGUUUUUCAAACCGACAAUCAUUACUAUAAGCCUAACAAUGAUACAAAAUUUCACCCACGUUGCAAGGGCCAUCCUAUACCUUAACGGGGUAUAGGAUGCUAGUAUAACUAUGAAUCCAUCUAAUAGGCCUUCUUAGAGGCAGUGAGGAGUCACACGAUAAAUUGGUGCGAUCAUAUCAUACGCUGGGUACGUAGUUUUAUGAGACUUGAUUUAAAAAUAGAUUCUUUCCAACUCGGUGCUUGAUACUACUCCUAAAAUAUUCAAUAUCCUUUAUGCUCAAUUACCCUUUACAAUGAAAGGGACUAAUACUUUACUUUACUUUUCACUUUUCUCAAUCAACCUUUACAAAGAAAGGGACUAUUACUUUACUGAAGUACUUUUCAAAAACAUCAAUCAUACUCUUUCUUUUUCUCAAUUGUGACAUAGUAGAUAUGAAACCAUUUGAUUCAUUCUUAAAAGACAUUGUUCAAAACUUGCAUUUAAAACGUAUACUUAUGGACUUAUCUUUCAAGUCCAAGAUUGAUAUAUAAAAACUGAAAAUUCACAUACUUUUUUGAAAAUAGUGCUCUUUUGUUUUAGUAUAAAAAUGAUACAUUCGGAACCCUUUAAGUUCCAUUAAACUCUUUUUCAAAAUAAUGCUUUUAAAAUUUUCUCUUAAACUCACUUUAGUUUUCAAAAUCAAUGUAAGGAAAAAAUAUUGCCUCAAAAUGCUUUUAGUAAAAUUCAAUAUAUAUAGGGUUCAUGUGGAACUACAAACAUGAACAUUAAUUCAACAAUUUCAAAGCAUAAAGUAUUGCAAUCUCAUAAUAUAGGAAUCUCAUAGAAGUGAGCCAAGAACCCUAGAUUAAAAUUUCUACUGAUUGAAUUGAGAUGUAGGACGUGAGGACGGACUAGUCCAACACUAUGAAUUGCCUUAGAUACCCGAUUAUGAAGCAAUUAGACUGAAAACUUUUGUGGAGACUUGAUUUUAUCUUGAAAUUGAGGAAGAACCUUAGAUUUUUGGAGAAACCUUUGAUCUUUGAAUCUUGGUGAUUGCUCUUGAUAAAAUAAACUCUUUUAUGAAGUUCUUAGAGUGGAAGAACAAUGGAAAACCUUGGGUGGAAGGAUUCUCUUGUAUCUUGGAUUUUUUUACUUGAAGUUUUUAGUGUUCUUGAUGGCUUGAAUGUUUAGGUUGAUUAUUUUGAGAGGAAAACUAGUUAUUUGAAUGAUAUAUUCAGUUAAAACACUCAAAAACGACUCAGAAUUGUGUUAAAAAUGACAUAGCAGAAAAACCAAAAUAAUUCCAACUUAAGAACUAACAGAGUGCCUUAAAAGGAAGGUUUCACGGACUGUUUAAGGCUCUACUGUCCAGAAAAUACUUCACGGGCCAUAUAGCCUUUUGUGAACCUUCGGCUGUUCGAUAGGACUUCACUAAAACGGGCAUAAUUCUUUACUCCAAACUCAAAAUGAGGCAAACUUGGUGGCGUCGCAAAGAGGACUCAAAGACCUUUAAUUUUUUUUGUUUAUGGGUCACCUAAUUCAUUAUGUGCUGAGAGAUAUGAUCUUUUGAAUUUGACCUAAUAGAAUCUUACGUCAAACUUAAUCAGUAAGGAAGUUUUAAACUCAACUUUGUGUUAGGGGAUUCUAGUGACCUUAAUUGAUAUCCAAAAUCAUCCCAACGUUAAUGAAUUGACCUUAGAGUCCAAGAAUAAUUAAGAAUCACUUGGUAUGACCUUAUACGUAAUUCAUGAAUGGUUCGGGUCAUAACUUAGAAAUAUUUGGGUGCGACACUUUAUCCUCAAAUGAAAAGGAUGUCUUAUUAAAUACAAGAAAGAAAGAUCAACAUGCCCUUACUCUCAUCCAUCAAUGUUUGGAUGAUGGCAUGUUUGAGAAGGUAGCUGAUGCAACCACCUCAAAAGAAGCUUGGGAGAUUUUACAAAAUUCUCCUCAGGGAGUUGAUAAAGUAAAGAAGAUAAAACUUCAAACUCUAAGGGCUGACUUUGAAGUUUUAAAAAUGAAAUAAUCCGAAUCCAUUACGGAUUUUCGUUCAAAAUUGAUGGCUAUUGUAAAUUAGCUAAGAAGAUUCGGGGAAGAAGUAGAUGAUGAGCGUGUGGUAGAAAAAAAAUCAUUCUCUAACACCCAAAUUUGAUAACAUGGUGUGUACUGAUGUUUGCGUAAUCAAGACACAACUUUCAAUGCAAGUGUCUACGAUCGUACAAUAGUUUAGUAACCCAACCAAGAGUUGGGGUCGAGUAACUAGUCGUAGCUAAAGACAUUAACGAUUAAAAAUAUUGUAAAUUAAAAGGGGGACACAAGAGUGUCAUUUAACAAAUGGGGGUUUUGUCACAAAUAAGUAAAAACAUCAAAAUAAACAAGGGUUUCUAAGUAAUGAAACGGGAUCCUUGGGAUGUGAUGGGAAUACGGGUUAAGCUAGAUUAUUGGGUACAUGCCUUCGAUAGAAGAUUCAUAGAAUAAUUGUGAAUAGGUUAGACUUUAAGGGGGAUAAGCUCUCUCUAGAGCAACUUACCCCGUUUCAAAUGCGUUCCUCUUAGACACCCACUUGCCGUAUGAAGAACAGCCUACGCCUUAACCCACUCACUCUCUCGAGCUGAGUGUGUGUGUGGGAGAAGAACUAGGGUUCACUAUCUCAAGCUGAACCUCAUGUCGACCCAAUCCCACCGACCAUCAAUUNNNNNNNNNNNNNNNNNNNNNNNNNNNNNNNNNNNNNNNNNNNNNNNNNNNNNNNNNNNNNNNNNNNNNNNNNNNNNNNNNNNNNNNNNNNNNNNNNNNNNNNNNNNNNNNNNNNNNNNNNNNNNNNNNNNNNNNNNNNNNNNNNNNNNNNNNNNNNNNNNNNNNNNNNNNNNNNNNNNNNNNNNNNNNNNNNNNNNNNNNNNNNNNNNNNNNNNNNNNNNNNNNNNNNNNNNNNNNNNNNNNNNNNNNNNNNNNNNNNNNNNNNNNNNNNNNNNNNNNNNNNNNNNNNNNNNNNNNNNNNNNNNNNNNNNNNNNNNNNNNNNNNNNNNNNNNNNNNNNNNNNNNNNNNNNNNNNNNNNNNNNNNNNNNNNNNNNNNNNNNNNNNNNNNNNNNNNNNNNNNNNNNNNNNNNNNNNNNNNNNNNNNNNNNNNNNNNNNNNNNNNNNNNNNNNNNNNNNNNNNNNNNNNNNNNNNNNNNNNNNNNNNNNNNNNNNNNNNNUACAACUUUAACUAGUAUUUAUUGCUUUCAUAGAUUUGUGCUGCAGCGGAUCAUUCGGCGUCGUUAGUCAGAAUCGCCGAUGAACUUGGCGAUUCGCCUUUUGGUGUAGUUUAUCGCCGUCUUGCACCAUCCUUCUGCAUCGUCGUGCUCUUGGUCAUUGGGCGACAUGGUACUGCUUCGCGGAACUGCUUGAGGAUACGUCGACUACUCCCUUUUUCCGCCGACUUGAUCCUUUCCUUCAGGGCUCAACACACUAGAACAUAAGGCGAAGUAGGACCCUUUGGCGACUCACCAAAUGGACUCGGCGAUCCUUAGGCAUUCAUUUCUUCGUUAUUUUCAGCCUUUUCGUUCCUUUUUGCGACAUAGUGUCCAUGCUUUCCUUCAAACAUCAAAUACCUGAAACUUAAGUGUUUUCAUCAGAUAUUGAGAUAAGAUAAUCAUUUGAGGACACAAUUUCUAUUAAAAUAUAUCCCUAAAUGAGUCCAAUUUGUGGAGUCAUCAACACCCGAACUUAAACUUUUGCUUGUCCUCAAUAAAACUUAAGUUCAGCCGUUCAAAAAGGGUGUCUUGAACAGUGCUACACAAGACUCGACCAUGAAUGCACACAACAAGACUCAAUUUACUUAUGCAAAGAUCAAGUGUGCACUCUAAGAUUCAAGUAGUGACUCACCAAUAUCAAAAGAAUCUCAUGCUCACAAUACUUGCCUCAAAUGCAAGUUCAAGCUCAACUAAAGUGUUUGAAUGCCCUCACAGAAAGAAUGAUUCCAUAAUCGCUUAUAAUGACUUAAUCAUCUAAAGUUCAGGAAUCAGAUGCAACACUCACACUCACAAAGAUGAAAACAAUGUAUGCUUUCACCUAUAGGUUCCCGUAUUUUCCAAUUGACAUUUGUUUCAGCUUUCUCAAGAAAAAAAAGUUCUUUUCGAGGCUUGUAAUGGGGCUGAGUGCAGAGGUAUAGUCAUUUAGGCUUAGUGGCUUUCAUCCUCAUGAAUUGUGGUGCUCACAACACUUCCUUACCUUUUCCUUCAUCAUUUUCUUUUAGUGCUCAUAAAUCAUCCUAUUAUUCACUUUCCAUAGUGUGUUGGAAACCCCAUUUCUUUUGCACUUUAUUCUGCAACUUUCUUUUUCAUUCUUUUUUUAUUUUUUUUAAAUGGAGGGGUUCCAUUUUUCUCAACACCGUGGGUUAACGGAGACUUCCCUUUCACUUCCUGAUUUUCCCUUUUCUUCUCACCACAUUCCCAACUUAGGAUUUUGGCCUAAGUUGGCUAUUUAUUAAACCACAAAUCAAGAGGAUUAACGGUAAUGGAUUAAGAAAGGUCUAAUUUUCAUCAAGUUUCUUCCAAAGAAGGUUAAGGUUCAAAGGGGGUUCAAGAGAGGUUCACACACUCAUAAGGUAGGCCACAAAAGCGGUAUAUGUCAAUUGGCUCACAAUCUUCAAAGUUGCCUAAGAUCAUGUCAAGAGAAAGCUUUACUUAGUUGAUCGGACCAACGGGGGAAAUUCUAGGAUCUAUCAUGCAUGUUUCAAAUUAAGCUCAUCACACUAGGCAUUGACACUAUAGUCAAACAAGACUCCACAUUUUCGCUAGUGUGCAACGGUCAUUACAAGAUACUCGAUUCGAUACUAGGCCAGUCAAAAUGAGAUGCAAAGAGUUCAUAUAUUGUCUAUGCAACUUCAUUUGGCCUCAUCGUAGCCACGCAUUCAUGUUUGUUCGAUCGAGAGCACUAUUCAAAUCAUCGGUAUUGAUCGGGACCGAGACUUAAAUUUUGCAAAACAACAGCCACAUUUGUCACACAAGAGGUGGCAAAAAAAUUCAGAUUUCGGACGGAUCAAAAUCAUUUUGCAAUUUAAAAUGAAAGGAGCCAUAGGCUCAAUCACCCACAGAAACAGAUAAAACACAAUUUUAAAGCAGAACAACCCAAAUAUAUACACAAAACACAACUAUCAACACAAAAGGUGUGGGCUUCACUCCACCACAAAUAAAAAGCAUUUGUCCUCAAAAGCAACUAAAAGUAUCUAAAAGUAAAAAAUAAUAAGACAGAGAGGGAGGUAAAGAAAGGUCAUGUCUAUGUAGUCUCUCUCUCUGUCGGGGUCUCGGUGGCUGGUGUAGCAGUUUGUAUAUGGGAUCAGUGCCUGGAGUAGCCUCAGACGGAAUAUCACUGCCAGAUCAACUAGGAGCUGCUGUGGAUUUCUCAGUCGACAAUGUCUGGAUCACCGGCUGAACAACCGUCUCUAUAAGAUCUGGCAAGUCUCUGAAUAUGCUCUCAUCUCUGCUCCCAUUUGUCUCCUCAGCAUGAACCGAUAUCAACUCUUCGUCGGUCUCUGUAUUCGAUUCUGCAUGCGCUGCGCCAUCUCCUUGUACUUCUCUGAUGGUAGUCGGAGGAAUCCUCGAGGUCUCAGAAGCAUCCCUGUCCUCAGCGGUCUCUAAUAGUGAAGUGAAGUCAGUAGACUUAAGAUAGUCUACGUCCUUCCUCAAACUCGCAAUCUCGGCUUUUAAAGCCGUCACCUUAGAGGCCUCCCCCCUGUCUGCUCUCACAAGCAAUGACCCUCACUGUCAAGCAUCAACAUAAGUCUGAAGGGGGGUAAGUGCUGCUAGUAUGGCACUGUUACUCAUUCCCGGGAUGGAUCUCUCCAAUCGGGUAGCUCUCACAUCAGCUGAAUAGGCCAACUGCCCCAUCUUCAGGAUCAUUGCCUGAGUAAUCCUGGCAGGCUGAGAGGAUGAGGAAGCACCUGGAACCUGUGAGGAGGAGGAAGAAGGAGCGGGUAUACCUGAGGGCUCAGAGGUCAGAGUAGGCGAAGGUGCCUUGGUUGGUAAUGAGUCAACAUUGACCUCUGGUGAAGUGUCUGCUGGAGCCGCUCUCCUCAUGUCAACCUUCUCUCGAGUUAACUUGGCCUUAAUAUGUCGUGUGUCAGUGGAGGAUGAAGGGAUGACCUCUAUAUCAUUUGCAGGAUCCUGGGGUACUCCGGUACGCCGACAUAACUCAGUGAUCAAAAUUGGGAAUGGCAGAGAGGUAAGUCUCUGCUUGGCUCUCAUGGCCAUCUCUUGCGAAGUCAGUAGUCCUAGGUCAAUCCACUUCCUAGCCAUGAUAGAAUCGAGGCAAGCCACCUUUGGAUGGCACAAAAUAGACUCAUUCUGGGAUGACAUGAUAGUGCUUCUGAUGAUAAAGCCAAACCAGAACCUGGAGGUGAUGUUCAUGUCCCUUUUCUCAAUGGGAGCUCCUGCAUCCAUCCACCUCGGGGUAGUGUCAAAAAUCAUCGGAGCCAACCAACCCUUCAAGUCAUCUAGGGACUGAACAAUCGGCAACCCUACGUAAGGGAGUGCAAAGUGUAGCAGUCUACCUAAUACAAUAUUAAUAUGCUCGUUGUGAUACUCCACCUCCUUGCCUCUGACCAUGACCGACUUCACCGAUUGAAACUCACUUGCCUUCUUCUUGGUCUUAGGCACCAACUCCCCAUAAGCAGUGUAAAACUCUCUUACCCAGGAGGGAAUGUAGGGGUCUCGGGGUCGUGUGAAUUGCUCGAAUCCAUGUUAUCAGAGAGUUUCAAGCAUAUCAGGAUGCUUGCCUUCUAGACCCUCCAAGGAUAGUAACUUCUCCUCUAUGAUGGUCCGUAAACCAUCACAUUUUUCAAUCUGUUUAACAACCUCGGUGGAGGAACUAUAGGAAGUGCAGGAGUUACUGAGGAUGCCUGGGUUGGCACUGAGUCUGUAGUCAGAGGAGUGGCAGCUGAGGGAGUACUGGUGGCUGUGGGCUGAGAUCUGGCCCGGAUCGCAUCCCUUCGGUUAAUUAGAGGUUGUUCAUCCUCUGUUUCAAAGAAGUCUGGCUCAAUAUCUUGUCCUUCAUAUCUAUAUGUUUCUUCCUCUUGCCUUUGUCUCACGGUUGGAGGUCAUCCCCUUUUCUCUUUGGAGGGUUUGAUCCUCCUUCAUUUAUUGUAAUGCCCUUUGCCUUUUUCUGAGGUGGCUCAGUUAUAUUGGUGUGUACCAUAUCUACAAAAUAUCAAGAAGAAAUUCAAAUACAAAAACAUAAAAGUUAUUGCAAACAGACUCGUCGAUCCAUUCGGCGAGUUGCCGAACUUCUUUGGCGAGCUAAGUCGAGCUCGCCGAAGAGAUUGACUCAACAAUUAAGGCAAGUCGGCGAUAGGAGAGUCCUUCCGGCUAAUCGCCGACUACUUUUGGCGAGCAAGGGUUUUUCCGCAGAAAUUUACAGUGCAUAAGGGUCUCAGAAGUGCAAAUAAAGAGCGAUAAAGAGUACUUUCGGCGAGUCGCCGAGUGCCUUCGGCAAACUCAAUCAUCUCACCGAAAGUUACAGACUCAAACAACAAACUUGACACGAAAUUAAACACGAUAUAAAGAAUAUAGGCGAACCGCCGAGUGAUUUGGUGAGCUUGACCCAGCUCGCCGAAUAACCCAUCGUGCCCAUUUUUAAUCUACCUUCUCAAAUUCAAUCCCGCAAACCCCGAAAGCAAAAUCAAAACAUGCACUAACGAAAUUCAAACAAGACCUGCACUACCCAUUUCCCCGAGAUAUUCAGAUUUCUCCCAAAUUUGCCUAAUUUGGCCAUUUGAUGAUAUUCGCUCUUAAGGGUGGUGUCACCCGCUUUAUCAUUAAGCAUAUAUUCGACAUUUAACACAAACGUGGGCUACUCAGACUUCACCCAAUCAAUCUAACAACACGCAAUCAUGACCCAACUCAUUAAAAAGCACAAACAUUAUGGGCAUUUGAUAGUCAAAUCAUACGGGUAAGAUUUUUCAAAUUAAAAUAGGCAAUUAAGGAUUCUAAUCCUACCAGAGAGGCCCAGCACACAUCAAUACGAUAUUAUUAUUGAAAAAGAGUUCAAAAUUUUCAACAAUAAACUCGGGGUUUUAGGACUAACCUUUAAUACUAAUUGAAAAGCUAGGCGGUAAAGUAUUCCAACUCCGAGCACAAACCAACAAACUAAAAUGUUAGUAAAGGGCUAAAAUAAAGAAAUACUACCUUAGUGUGAAUUUAGGAGAUUCAAGAGCGAGGGAAAGUGGAGAAUUUCAAAUUUUGAGUCUUUUGGCCAUUGUAAACCGUCCAGUUCGCGCCCAUUCGACGACGUUAGUCGCACUCGCCGAUCCACUUGGUGACUCGCCGAGUGGUCACUUUCCCGCCGAUUGCUAAAAUUCUUCAGUUUCUUAGAGGUCAAGACGACUGUCUACAUCGAAGUCGCCGACCUGGUCGACGAUGUGUCGUACUGCUUUGAAAGUUCACCGAGUUUUACAGGCUCUGACUUGAACUUGAAGUGAGCCAAAUGACGGGUCAAGUCGGGCUGGCCGACUGACCAUUUUCUCGCCAAUCUGUAUUUUUUCAUCACUUUCCUCAUUCAAACCUACACGACUAACACACCAUUAUUAUAAAAGCAAAAUAAAGCAUUUAAAACCUUGGGUUGCCUCCCAAAAAGCGCUUUAUUUAACGUCGUGGCACGACGCAAGUUCUUACUCACUCCCCAUUGGUUAGGUUAGUCCUAGUGUUACCAGGUAACCCCAAUAGUUCGUCUGAGUGAAGAGGAGGCACCGCAUAAUUCAAGAGUGUCCUGAUCAGCUGGAUCGAUCUAGAGUGAGAGCUUACCAUUUGAUUCAACACUUCAACAUUCUUUCAUUUCUUCCAACAUCCAAUCUUGUUCGGUGAUCUUUUGGAGAAUGAUUUGGAGUGUGUCCUCGACUCGAUUAUUCUCGCUGUAACUAGACUGCUUCCUCUCGUGAGGAGGUAUGUACCUCCCUUGAUUUUUGCACUGGUUUUCCACCUCUGUUAUUUUGGUGUACAACUCGUUCAGCUGAGUUACCAGUGCGGUUAACUCGAAGUCCCUCUCAACUCAUUGGCUCAUCUCAGUUUAGUUGUCACUAUUUCCCCCAGCCAUGCUUAGGGUACCUACCUACAUCAACAAAUUCAUAGGAUAACAAAACUAAAAAUAAAGUUAGUAAACUAUGACUACCAAAAGCAAAAUUCGUCUUAAAUGAAAAACAUUCACGUAACACCACACCCCGGCAUCGACACCAUUUUGAUAUUUGCGUAAUCAAGACACAACUUCCGAUGCAAGUGUCUACGAUCGUAAAAUAGUUUAGUUACUCAACCAAAGGUUGGGGUUGAGUCCCAAGGGAGUGGUUUUGAGAAUUAAUAGAAAAUAAAAUUUAGUUCUAACUAGUCGUAGCUAAAGACAUUAAGGAUUAAAAACAUUGUAAAUUAAAAGGGGGACACAAGAGUGUCAUUUAACAAAUGGGGUUUUUGUCACAAAUAAGUAAAAACAUCAAAAUAAACAAGGGUUUCUAAGUAAUGAAAGGGGAUCCUUGGGACGUGAUGGGAAUACGGGUUAAGCUAGAUUAUUGGGUACAUGAUUUCGAUAGAAGANNNNNNNNNNNNNNNNNNNNNNNNNNNNNNNNNNNNNNNNNNNNNNNNNNNNNNNNNNNNNNNNNNNNNNNNNNNNNNNNNNNNNNNNNNNNNNNNNNNNNNNNNNNNNNNNNNNNNNNNNNNNNNNNNNNNNNNNNNNNNNNNNNNNNNNNNNNNNNNNNNNNNNNNNNNNNNNNNNNNNNNNNNNNNNNNNNNNNNNNNNNNNNNNNNNNNNNNNNNNNNNNNNNNNNNNNNNNNNNNNNNNNNNNNNNNNNNNNNNNNNNNNNNNNNNNNNNNNNNNNNNNNNNNNNNNNNNNNNNNNNNNNNNNNNNNNNNNNNNNNNNNNNNNNNNNNNNNNNNNNNNNNNNNNNNNNNNNNNNNNNNNNNNNNNNNNNNNNNNNNNNNNNNNNNNNNNNNNNNNNNNNNNNNNNNNNNNNNNNNNNNNNNNNNNNNNNNNNNNNNNNNNNNNNNNNNNNNNNNNNNNNNNNNNNNNNNNNNNNNNNNNNNNNNNNNNNNNNNNUCUUCAAGUCUUCAAAACCCUCUCAAGCUUAGAGCAAAAGUACUAAAACGUACUAUUCUAUAUGAAAAUUAUAAUAAUUAUUCGACUCUUAAAACUACAACUCUAAUUAGUAUUUAUAAUUUUCACAAAUUUGUGCUGCAGCGGAUCAUUCGGCGUCAUUAGUCGAAAUCGCCAAUCAACUCAGCGGUUCGCCUUUUGGUGUAGUUCAUCACCGUCUUGCACCAUCUUUCAGUAUCGUCGUGCUCUGGGUCAUUGGGCGACAUGGUACUACUUCGCGAAACUACUCGGUGAUACGCCGAUUGCUCCAUUUUUCCGCCGACUUGAUCAUUUCCUUCAAGGCUCAGCGCACUGGAACAAAAGGUGAAGUAGGACCCUUCUGCGACUCGCCAAGUGGACUCAGCGAUCCUCAGGACUUCAUUUCUUCGUUCUUUUCAUCCUUUUUGUUUCUUUUUGCUACGUAGUGUCCAUGCUUUCCUUCAAACAUCAAAUACCUAAAACUUAGAGGUUUUCAUCAGAUAUUGAGAUAAAAUAUGCAUUUGAGGACACAAUUUCUAUUAAAAUAUAUCCCUAAAUGAGUCCAAUUCUUGGACUCAUCAUGUACCAGUGAGGAGUCUAAAGAUUUAGACUCUAUGACGGUAGAGCAAUUGGGAAGUUAUUUACAAACCCAUGAAGAAAAGAUGAAAAGGAGAAAAUAAGAGGCACUAGAGAAACUUCUUAAAACUCAGGCAUACUUCAAAGGAUUGGGAGAUAAAAAAUUUUACAAAGAAAUGGACAAUGGUGAGGCCGUGAUGGUCUUGGAGGCCGUGGAAGAGGAAGAAGUUAUAUCAACAAAUUCAAAAAUGAAGAUAAAAGUCACUAGUUAUUUAUUGGUUGUGGCCAUGGUUAAUAAGGAGGUAGAUGAUGUGGAUCCUGUCAAGGUACCAAUGAAAUAAGGUGUGACAAAUCUAAAAUUGAGUGUCAUAACUCUCAUAAAAUUGGACAUUACUCUUGGGAAUGUCGUAGUAAUGUUGUAGAGAAAGUUAAUCUUGUUGAAAACAACAAAGAUGAAGAUUGCAAUCAUUUAAAAAAAACAAAGAUGAAGAUAAAUCAAUAUUGUUAUUGACACUUAAAGAAGAAGAUACAGAUGAUUGCAGUUCAUGGUAUCUUGACAAUGGAGCAAACGAUCAUAUGUGUGGCACAAACUCAAGUUUGUGGAGAUAAAGAAGACAGUGAAAGGUAAUGUGUCUUUUGGAGAUACCUCAAAGAUCCAAAUUAAAAGGAUAUGUACGAUUAUGAUAUCCUGUAAAAAUGGUGGCCAAAAGUUGAUAAACAAUGUUAUUAUGUGCCAAAAUUGAAAAGUAAUAUUUGAGUUUGGGUCAACUUCUUGAAAAGGGAUAUGAUAUUCAUAUGAAAAAUAUGCAUCUUUUGCAUACAGAUUCAGGUAACAACUUAAUUGCUAAAGUGCAUAUGGAAAAGAAUAGGUUGUUCCCUUUGAAUCUUAAGACCAUCGAUGCAAAGUGGCUAAUGUGCAAGAUGACUCAUGGUGUUGGCCUAUGCAAUUUGGGCACCUGAAAUUUGAAGCACUCACAUAAAUGGGAGACAAGAACAUGGUUGAUGGAAUUCCGUCAAUCAACCAUCCCAAUUAGUUGUGCGGAACUUGUCUUCUUGGAAAACAUGCGAGGAUGAGUUUUCCAAAGGAGACAACAUCAAGACAAAGUAUGCCACUCCAACUUGUAUAUAUACCGAUGUGUGUGGUCCAAUCGAUCCACCUUCUUUUGGUAAAAAGUAAUUACUUCUUGCUCUUUAUUGAUGAUUUAGUAGAAAGACUUGGGUAUACUUUUUGAAGCAAAAAUCUGAGGUUUUUGUUGCUUUUAAAAAUUUCAAAGCACUUGUAGAAAAAGAAAGCAUCUAUGAAAUAAAAGCAUUAAUGUCCAAUAGAGGAGGCGAAUUCACUUUAAAAGAAUUUAAUGACUUUAGUCAAUCUCAUGGAAUUCGUCACCCUCUAACGGUGCCUUACUCACACCAACAAAAUGGAGUUGCAGAAAGAAAGAAUAGAACAAUUCUUAAUAUGGCUAGAUGAAUGUUGAAAGUUAAACAUCCACCAAAAGAAUUUUGGGCCUAGACUAUUUGUUGUGCAUUUUAUUUGAGCAACAGGUCUCUAAAAAAAUAUACGUGAUCAAUCUCCUCAAGAAUCAUGGAGUGUAAAAAAUCCAAUUGUCAAGCACUUCAAAAUCUCCGUGAGCAUAGCAUAAGCUCCCGUUACACAUCAAUGGAGAGCUAAACUUAAUGAUCGUAUUUUCAAGUAUGUGUUUGUUGGAUAUGGCGCGAGUUCAAAAGGCUACAAGUUAUAUAAUCCAAGCAAUAACAAGGUUGUGGUGAAUCACGAUGUUAAAUUUGAUGAAGAAGCAUCAUGGAAUUGGGAGGCUCCGGAAGAAAGAACUUAUGAUUUUCUUCCAUACUUUGGAGAUGAAGUAGAACAAGAGACCAUGGAACCUACAAAUGAUGCAACCCCAUCUCAUUCACUAGCAAAUGUUACUCAAGAGAGUUUAAGUGAAAGACCGCAUAGGAUGAAGUGCAUCCAAGAACUCUAUGAUGACACAAAAGAAAUUACUAAUUUUGUUUUUUAUGUGUUGUCUCUUUACUGAUAGUGAUCCAAUGAAUUUUGAUGAAAAUGUUACUGAUAAAAGGUGGAGACAAGCCAUGGAGGAGGACAUCUAGUCAAUAGAGAGGAACACUAUUUUGGAGUUAGAAACUCUUCCUAAGGAUCAUCGAGCAAUUGGAGUCAAAUGGGUAUACAAGACAAGGAAAAAUGCACAUGGAGAGGUAGAGAGAUACAAAGCAAGACUUGCGGCUAAAGGCUACAGGAAAAGUCAUGACAUCGACUACCAGGAAGUCUAUGCACCUAUUGCACGCAUGGAAACGAUCUGUCUAUUGAUCUCUUUGGUGGCGCAAAUGAAGUGGAAAAUCUAUCGACUAGAUGUCAAAUUGACAUUCCUGAAUGGAUCUCUUGAAUAAAAAGUCUAUGUUGAGCAACCAUUGAUAUUUGUGGUCAAAAAUCAUGAAGAUAAGGUGUUAAUGUUGAAGAAAGCCUUUUAUGAGUUGAAGCAAGCUCCACGGCCGUUGAAUAGUCACAUUGACAAAUACUUUCAAGACAAUGGGCUUACUCGUUGUCUUCAUUAAUAUGAUUUUCACAUUAAAGUUCAUACUAAUAGAGAUAUUCUGCUUGUUUAGUUUUAUGUUGAUGAUCUUAUUUUGAUGGGUACCAACCCAAUUUUGUUUGAAGCUUUCAAGAAAACCAUGUCCCUUGAUUUCGAGAUGACAGACAUAUGACUUAUGUCAUAUUACUCGGGCCUACAAGUGAAGAAAAUGGAGGAAGACAUUUUCAUAUAUCAGGAAAGAUAUACAAAAGAGAUUUUGAAGAAGUUCAAUAUGUUUGAUUUCAACCCUGUAGAUACCCCAAUAGAAAGUGGAAUAAAAUUGUCAAAGUUUUGAUGAUGGAGAAAAGGUGGACUCCAUUAUGUUCAAAAGUCUCAUGGACUCCACUCUAUUCAAAUGCACUCUUUGCGGUUGGAGUAGUAAGUCGCUUCAUGGAAGCUCCUAUCGAGAUUUGACUAUUUUAUUCUUCUUCUGAUUAUUUUAACCUUGUGGGAUACUGUGAUAGUGAUUAUGCGGGAGAAGUGAAUGACAGAAAAAGUAAAUCGAGUUUUAUAUAUUUUCUUGGGUGAUUGUGUUAUUUCUUGGAGUUCAAAGAAACAAUCACAUGUUACUCUCUUGACUUGUGAAACUCAAUAUGUGGCCGCGACAUCAUGUAUGUGUCAUACUAUUUGGUUGAGGAGAUAGUUGAAGGAACUCAAUUUGCCAUAAAUUGAAGCCAUAAUGAUUUGUGUUGAUAACAAAUUUGAGCAAGCACUUGACAAGAAUUCAGUGUAUCAUGACCGAAGCAAGCAUAUAUACACAAGGUAUCACAUUCUAAGAGAAUGCAUUGCUUGGAAACAUGUAGAGCUCAAGUAUGUGAAAUCUCACGAUCACGUUGCUGAUAUAUUUACAAAGCCUCUCAAUUUUGAAGAUUUUCAGAGAUUGAGAUCGAGUCUUGGAGUAAAGAAGAAAAAUCAAAAUUAAGAGAGAUAUUUGUGGGAACAAAGUUUGGCAUUAACUUAUUUGGAAGCCACACUUGUGGAAAUUAAUAACCACAAAUAUGAAAGUUUACGAUACAAAUGUGAAAGUUGGUAGCCACAUUUGUGGAAGUUGGUAGUCAAUUCUUGGUAGAGUUUUAGUAGAGUUUAGCAGCCAAACUUUGUGGAAAUUGGCUGCCACAUUUGUGUCACUAAUGAUGUUAUCAAGAGGUUCAAAACUUUAUAAAUAGAGUAGUAAUUGAACAUUUGAAGACACACCAAAAUAGAGAAAGCAAUAGAGAGUAGAGAGAGAGAGAGUAAUCAACAAGCUAUUUAUUAUUUUGUGAGAAAAUAGUGUGGAAAUAAUAUUAUUGUGAAUUGUAAGAAAUGAAAGAGUUGUUUUAUUUUAUUUUCUUAGAAUUGAAGGAUUUUAUUUAAUAUUAAGGAACAUCCAUGCAAAAGGGAAUUGAUCUAAGUGAAGCAGUUGCAUUUGCAUCUCUAUCAAGUUCAUAUGUAAUACAAAGAGGGAGAUGCUUCAAAAAUAUAUAGUAUGUUUCUAAUCAUAAUUGGGUCCUUAGAUUUCCUUCUGUAUUCUGCUAGUGCAUCUGUUGUCCUAUUAGCCUCCCGUGGAAUAUGUUCUUAUAUAAGAGUAGUAGCCUUUUGAUACUACCAAAUUUUCAUUAAUAUUUGUUUUGACGGAACGUGUGUUGCAUGUGAAUAUCAAAUCAUUUACUACACUAUUUUUAAAAAUAAUGUGAAUAUAAAAAAUUAAAAAAUUUAAGUAAACAAUUAAAAAAUGAAUGAUCAAGUAUAAGUUUGUAUGAGUGGAUGUAAACUUUCUUAUGAUUACUAUUGAAAGUUAGUCACUCUUAAAAUCUCUUAGUUACACCUCUUCAAUAUACUUUCUCCUCCCUCCUCUAUAGUGAGUUAUUUAGUUAUUAUUGUAUUGUUGGAGUUCUUACUUUCAAUAUACUAUAAUAUAAAUAAAUAUUGAUAUAAAAUAUAGAACAUAUACUAAAUUGGAUGUUUUUAGUUGUAGUAUUAUAUAAUUUAACAUUGAUGUUAGGAAGUGUUCAAAUUUCACUGAACAUUGAGAUUGUCAACGUCUGUAAAUCAAAUUUGAGUUUUUAAGAAGAGAAGAAUAGAAAAUAUAAAAAAGUCAUAGUUUAAAAAUGUGAGGAAACCCCUCCAUUUAUACUUAACAAAGGCUGGUAUGAGCAUGUGCAUAUGGUUUCUUAUCAUAAAAGUCACCACCCUUUGGAAAGGUCACAACUCAACAAAAAAGUCACAACUCAACAAAAAAGUCGUAAUCAUUCAAUGUGAAAUGAUGUCUUCUUUAAAUAUAAUAUAUUAUAAUAUAAAUAAAUAAAUAAAAUAUAAUAUAAUAUAUAGAAAAUAUAGUAAAUUGGUUGUUUUAUGAAGAAAAAGAACAAUGAAAAACUUUAUAAAAUUGUAGUUGGAAAAUUUGAGGAAACCCCUCUUUUUAUAGCCAAGAAAGGGUAGUGAAUGAAGGAAUGCUUAUUGUCCCUUAUAAAAAAAAGUCACAACCCUUCUAAAAGGUCACAACACAUCGGAAAAGUAAUAACUCUUUGGAAAGUCACAACCCUUCGAAAAGGUCACAACUCUUCGGAAAAGUUGCAAUCCUGUAAAAAGUCAAAGCUUUUCGAAAAGGUCACAAUUCAUCGAAAAUGUUAUAAGCCUUUGAAAAUGUCACAACCAUUUAAUGUGAAAAGGUGCUUGUUUUUAAUAUAAUAUAAAUAGAUAAAUUUAAUAAAAUAUAAAUUAUAGAAGAUAUACUAAAUUUGGUGUUUUAAGUUCGGAGUUUUAUUAUAAUUUAAUAUUUAAGCUAGACAUUUCAUUCUUUUAAGGUAGAAUAGAUCAAAAAAAAAAAAAAAGAUAGAUAUAGAUUUGUCUAAAUGGGGGAAUGGGGAAUGGUUUCCUCAUUUCUCCCUUUUUCUCAUACAAACUCUCCCAAAACCCUCUCGAUUCAUCUACUCCGAACGUCAUUUCUUAGGUAAAUUUAUUGUUCAUUAUGCUCUUUACUUCAAUACUUGAUUAACAAUGAUUGCAUGCUGCUACUUAAUUGAUUAGAAACGGUUUUUGGUUAGUUUUUCGAAAAUGAACGUAAUUGCUUGUUGGUUAGAAAAAUGUAGCAUGGGCACUUCCCUUACGUCUCCACGAUGCCCUAGGCAUAAGGAUUUCGUCAAAAAAUGGUCGAAUUGGAACCAAAAUGGGUGGAGGAAGUUAAAGGGUUUCUUGAUUGAAAAUUUGGAUUUGACGCUAUUUAGGGGUUAUUUUGCAAAAAUAAUUGCAGAAUUAUGUUCUAAGAUACUUAGCAUACUCUGAUCUAUUGAAAUUUUGUGAAAAUAGGGGUUUUGGGACUAAGGGCGCCAUGAUCGCGCCUGGUGUCUUAGAUGAAGGCCGCUCUGGCGACCUUCAUCUCGUUGUAGAAGCCUCUCUCAUCCCGCUCUGGCGGGAUUCGGGCCACUGUGGCGGGACACAGUGGGGCCGUAGCCCCUUGCCACUUAGAGCAGAAAUUUUUUCUCUUCCCUUUGUAACCCAAAAUUGCCUAACUCUAUCAUGUUCUAACGUAUACCUUCCAAAUUUUUGCAGGCUUCUCUAAAUGGCUGGUGCUAACGAGGAAAAUCCGCCUUUUGUCCGGUUCCCCGAUGCUGCUAGUCGGAAAAGACAUCACGACUACCGAAACAACAAGUUUUUUUGUGAGAGAGGCUUUGUCUUACUUAGACUGGAGGAGAAGGUGUCUGCCUUUUAUGCUCGCCUGAUGGAGUUCAGAUGGGCUCCACUGACUGAGGCUCCCCCUAUUGCAUGUUCUGACUAGGUGAGGGAGUUCUAUGUCGUUCUACCUACAGUUCACUAGGACGAUCCCCAUCCUACCAUUUGUAUUCGGGGAGUCUAUAUCCCUCUGAACACUACAGCCAUUAAUAAGAUGCCAGAGGUGCCCGAGGUCUCAAAUGUGGAGUACGAGGCCAAUGUAAGGGAGAUGGAUCUGGGCUAGCUGAGGGACACACUGGUGGAGUCUGCACACCGGGACAGAGUUUAUUGGCCUAUUGCCGAGGGCAUCACGAACGCGAACCGGUCACCAGAUGCUAAGAUGUAGCUGCACUUGGUUACUAGGAGGAUCCAUCUAUCGGGCAACCGUAGUGACGUGACAUUUCCUUGGGCCUUGGUGGUGGCGUGGAUUGUGCAGGGCAUUGAGCUAAAUGUGGGGGCGCAGAUUAUCUCAUAAUGGAAGAUGUUCUACCUGGCAACAAGAAGACUUUCUUUCUACUAGGACUUGUGAUUGCAAUGUGCAAACAGGUGGGGGUGCCCCUCUUAGAAACUGAUGAUGUAAUCCUAUGGAUCCCCCCCCCCCUCAUCCUCUUUUGGUUAGGCAGGGUUCUACUUCUAGGAGCAAAAUGAUGAGGAUGGAUAGGGUCAGUAGCAGUCAGGCGGCUACGAAGGCAGACGGCGAAGGAAGGGAAGACGGUGCAAGCGACGACACUCGUCCCUCCCGGUCUCAGUCCCCACUCUCAGGUGUACAGGUGGAAGAGGAUUUAGUGGCUGUCCAGAAGAGAUUGGGACGUUCUUUUACUAACACUACCUCGGUUCCACCCAGCACUGCCUUAGAGGUUGAGAUGCUCCGCUGAAAGCUGCGCCAGGAGAGGAGGAAUGGUCUGGAGAGGGAUCGUCUGAUGGUUCGGAUAUGGAAGGUUGUGAGGGUCAUCUUCACUUGCAUUGCCCCUAGACAGGAGAUUUCCCGAGUCGAAAAGGAUACUUCCAGCAUUUCACCUUUAUGGAUAAAGCUGUGAAGGGCCUGGUACCCCUGGAGGUCUUAGACUUUGAUGAUGAUACCUCCGGUCUCAGGGUUCCUGAUUUGGUUUUUCGCCCCUUUUGGGACUGUAUUUGAACAAUACUUUAUUUUAUCUUUUUGCUUUCCUACUUUUGUAAGCAUCUGGAUGCUAGUUCUUGUUGUCUUUUGCAGCUGAUAUUUAAAUGUUAAGGUUUAUAACCUAUAUUUGAUUGUUGAUCACUAAUUUAAGUUGCGGGGAUUAACCUAUACGCAAUUCGGGCCUAAUUGGGUGACUUAGGAAAAAUGGAAGAGACAAGGCUGAGGUUUUGUCUCACCCUGUCCCACUCUAGCGGGAGAAAUCCUGCGUUGGCGGCCUCACUUUGGUGGGAAAAUCCCGCCCCAGCGGUCCCGACGGAAACAAAACCCCUGCCAAUCAUUUUCUGGGAUUCUUCUCUUUUCUAACUUCCCCAAAGGUUCCCAGCUAUAACACAUGCAUUUUUAGAGUAGUCCCCUUAGCUGGGAUAGUCAAUGUCUACCCCGAGUAAACCCAACGAUUCACACCCUAAACUCGUCCUCACUAAUGCAACACCACAACACACCCAAAUUUGGAUAUUCAGUCUAGCCUGCUGCUAUAUCAAUGUUCAUACAAACACUUAUUGAGCAGAUAAUAGCAUCAUAGCAUUAAAGAAAACACAUUCUUCACACCAACAGUUAAUUCCGACAAUAGGAAAUAAAAAAUUAAGGGUUUCAAAUUACAAUGCACAAACAAAUCCAAAAUUUUAGUUAAUUCGGUUCAUGGAUGACCAUUACUGAUCAUACGUGCAUUUACACAACCCUUAGGACCAGAUACCAAUUGGAACCUUCUCAGUUCCAAUAUGCUUUGCUUGUGUCCCUUCAGUCGUGACCACGGCGUCCGGUUCACUUUGACUCAAUUCCAAUUGGACUCAACUCAUACCAUAAGCGACACUCACACGAAAGGAGAGAAAAGGUGGAACAACUUCUUACAAUGCUUCCUAGCCUCCUGAAGAUUUGAUGUGGACGUCAACACACUAAUCCGCAAGAGUCUAUUCCAUAUUUUGCUAUUGUACUGGGAGACCGGUAACAUGGGCUUUGAUACCAAUUUGUCACAACCCAACCCAGCAAGUGGUGCGGGCACCCACUCUACUACCCAAGUAGGAGAACCCUCAAUUCCUAAACGGUUUAGACAUGCGGAAGAUUCGAGAAAACUAGGAUAAAAACAAAUUCAUGGAGAUUUUUAGAAAUAUAAGAGUUUAAACAUAUCAAGUUAAGACUUGUAAAUUAAUUAACACCCCAGGGAUCUAGUCUAAACAUAUACAAGAGAUACUAAGCUUACAAGGUAAAACAUAAUAAUGAGGAGACACAGCUUCCACCAUGCGGAAGGAAAGAUAGAAGCUGCUGGAGAUUGCCUUCGCCUUCACUUAUGAAACAUCACUGAUCCUGCAACCAGACUAUGCCCAAAUGGCAUAUCAAGAGUAGUAUCAGUACAAAACCACACGUACUGGUAGGCAUCAUCGGUCAAUUGGAUACCCACCGCAUAAUAUAAGAAAUCGACCAAUGAAAACAAGCAGUAAGACUAUUCAUUCCUCUAGUUUUAUAUUUACCUACCCUCACCAGUUUCGAAUACUAAAAUUUGUACUAGCAUACUUGACUUUCAACCCCUUAAUCAUUCCAGUCUUGGUCAUGACUUAACCACUCUACCUCUUAAAGGAGACUCCGGACAUAACCACUAGCAAAACACCCUACUUUCUUCAUGUCACCACUCAACCCUUGACUACUAAGUACGUUAUAUCAAGCAUGUUAACCGUUUCAAUACUAAUCCCCUACUGGAUAAUACAUGUCUAUUUGACAACACAACAGAACACCUACCCAAUUCUUAAUAACAAUACUCACUACCACCCUCCACGGGUAACCCGUAAGGAUACCCGGACCCUUGUUCUCUACUUACCGUAUCACCUCCCAAUUUUUAACCUAACCAUUCCCAAUCCACUAUACCAACAAAUAUAUCCAGCUAAAUUUCAACAUCGCAACCCACACAUAUGUCUAUAUAGAAUGCGCAACCUAGUUAACAUGUCAGGAUUCAAUACAAAUUCCACAUUCUCAAGAUAUACAGAUAUGCCAAGUCAAUGGUCCUAUAUGGAACCCACACCCAAACUGUUAGUGUACCGAAACGUGGUACUCGAUCCAAGUUAGUGUGCUGAAACGUAGCACCCGAUCCAAUAAGUAUGCCAGUACGUGACAUCCAAUCCAAUGAAAUUUAGCUUGUCGGUACGUGUCACCCGAUCCAAUGCAAGUUAGUGUUUCGGUACGUGACACCCGAUCCAAUCAUCACAAUCAAGAUCAUAUUCAUAUCCAUAACAUACAAUACUCACAUCAUAUAGUCAAGUACUCAAGUUCAUGGUAUGGAUUGUUAUAAUAAAUUCAUUAGGUUUGUUUCCACUAAAAUCGCAUGUCAUACACGUAUGCAUACCAUAUGCCAAUCGAUCGACAAACAUUAUACAAUUAGGAAAUCACAACAAUCGCCUAAACCCUAUUUCACGAACUAGGGAUUUCUCCUACGGUAUACGUCUAAUGUAAAAUUUAAGAAUAUACACAUAAUCAACCCUUUUUCGGUAAGUAAAAAGCCUACGCAUGAAUUCUACCGUCAAUUCCAACAUACUACGCAGUGAAUAACAAAUUUAUAACUACUCAAUAAAUAAACCUAGCCAAUUUGGGCGCCAAACAUUUGUAGAGGGAUUGUAGAUAAAUUUUUGUUUUCCGAACGAUAGGACGGUGGAUUUUGACCGCAAAACCACAAGCUAUCGCCAUCCCCAUGCUAGAAUUCUCUUUCUCCUCCCUUCCCAAGCUUAGAGCAGCUUUGGGAGGGUUUCUGGGGUGUUCCUCACCUCUUUUAGGUGAUUUUGGAAGAAGGAGAAAAUAAGAUUUAGAAUUAUUUAUAUUUUGUCUCGCCUAUCCCGCUCUGGCGGCUACUUAUCCCAAUAUGGCACUGCCGCCUUAGCAGCAUCUAGCCCACCCUAGUAGGACAGGGCCCCGGUAUUUUCCCAAAGUUUUGCUUUCAUAAAUAAUGACGGUUUAGGUCGUUACAUGUAGUUAGACUAUCAACUGGGGUAGGUGAUUAGAGGUUGAGAGAUCAUGAUCAUAAUAUUAACCUUCUAAAUCAAUAAUUUCAUAACCAUCUGAAAUCCAUAAAAGAAAUGUGAAGCAUGAAGUUUUUGUUACGUUGCAGACUUGGAAUUGUCCUAAACUAUUGUUAACAUUCAUCUUGAAGUUGAAUCAUUGUUAGUUAGUAUAUUUCGUUUAUUCUUGUUGUAAUGACCGUAGGACAUUUUUGGAAUUUUUUGGAAAAUUACCAUUUUACCCUCCCAAUAGUUACCCCGAGUCCUAUCUGAUCAGUUUUUGAAGUUGGUUUUGAAAUUUGAUUGUAAAAUUGUGAUUUUUUUUUUGAAGUUUUAGAGUUUUGGAGAGUUAGAGUUGUUAAUUUUUUUAUAACAACCGUAGCUACGAGUCUCGGAAUGGAAUCUCGUUAGUUCCAUCAGCCCCCGAACAUGAUUUUUGGGUUAUUAGGACUAUUGGCUUGGGUCCCAAGACUUUUGAUUUGAUUUUGAGUCAGUAGAUGAGAUGCAGAGAAAGUUAAGGCUAAAAUUUGACUUUAGUCAACGCUUGAGGUUAGAAAGGUCAUUUUUGAGUUUGAUGAUUUCAAUAGGUCCAAAUGGUUAUAUUUUGUCUAGUUGAAGAUUGGUUUAGUUCCCGAAGCUUUUGUAUAAGUUUCAUGCACUUAUUUGGAAAUUUGGAGAUUCUUAAGUUAAAGUUAACUUUGGUCAACAUCGGGUUAAGGUGAUCAUGUUUGGGUGUUCUGAUGAUUCCAUUGACUCUGAAAUCUCAUUUUCAAGCUAGUAGCAUAAUUGGUUUAUGGUCGGGAGGUUCCAGAUGAGUUUUGGGUGAGUUUCUAAGGUUUUUGGGUGCCUUGGCGUUGUUUCAGCAAUUUGUGUCAACUAAAAGGUUUGUUAUUAGUUUUAAAGAUAAAAAAUUAUUCUGAAAUUUUGAGCAUGAAUUAUAGGAUUGAUCUGCAAAGUUUGGUGCAUUUUUCGCGAAGCCGAAAUUGGACUUUUAUCGUGAUUAUGAAAUAAAUGUUUACCGAGCAGAAAUGAUAUUUGAUUGGGGUAAUGAGCACGAAAUUUGAGUUUCGAUUAGAUGAGCAGUUCUGUAUCAUUAUUUAAGACAUUUAGAAAAAAGAAUCGGGUCAUUUCGGUAUCGAAUGAGGAAUUUACGGUCUUUUUAGUGAAAUAAAAGUUGUUGGUUUGCUGGUGCAACUACAGUUGUACAUGCAUUUAAAAUUUCAGACUGUGCUCAUUUGGUAAUUUGAACAUAUUGGGAUUUCUCAAGCUCAGAGUGAUGUGAUUCUUUCAGCAUUCUUCUCGAUUUAAUAUGGGGGUUAGUAUCCAAUUGAUAUACAUUUUCUCAUGAUUUCUUCAUAUGAUUUUCUUUCCUUAUUCGUGUAAUUCUUGGGGAAAAUUAGGGUCUAUCGAUUCAUCGAUUUUGACAUAAGCUUUUUGAUUCAUCGAUUAUUUUCAUCAUAUUAACCGCAUAUAAGCUUGAGAAUUUGGGUUUUUCCAUGGUAAAGUUAAAGUUUGAUAAAUUGAGGAUUUCAAGGUCGAUUUUAACUCCAUUUUUUUUAUGGAAUUUCAUAUUUGAACUUCCCUAAGCAUGGGCAAGAUAUUUUUCAAGAACUAUUUCUGAUUCGAGUCGGGGUUUCGAACCCGAGUAUUGAGAGUUUUUCUCAUGAACGUGUGUUUUAGUUAAACUAGAGUUUUGAGCAUGAUUUCAACUCACUGUUAACUGGGAUUUUAAUUAUUGAGUUCCAAAACGUUUCGAUAACGUGAUUUUAUACAAAUUUCCAGAAUUAUCCCUCAUUUUCGAAAAAUGGGUCUUUUUUGGCUAAUUUGGCUUGAUUCUCAAAAUCAUUGAUAUGGCGUUGUUAGUUUUGAAAUCUUAUUGUGAAUCCUCAUUUUAUUAAAUUUAUUCGAUUCGGAUAACGUACGAAGAGGGAAUACUCAAGUUACAGAGUGAUUGUAUGUUUGAAUUGAGGCAAGUGAUCUCCUAAACCAUGUAAUCUAGUAGAAUUCGUGUAUUGCCUUCAUUGUGUAUGUGUUGGGAGUAAUGGGAAUGAGGUGAGGGAUUUAUUGUUCCACUUGAUAAAUCUUAAUGAAUAAAAAGGAGUUUAAAUUAAAAGGCUACGUGUUGAUUAUGAUGCUUGUGAAUUGCCUUGUGGUGGACCCUAUUUGAUUGAAUGAUGAAAUGCUUGAUAACAUGAAUGUGGGCUUGAAUUGUGUAACAUCCCGAAAAUUUCCAAGUUAAGACUCAAGCCAUUCUUCAUUUGUGAAUAAGGUUGUACCGAGUGAUUCUAAAGUUUUUUGGUGUUAAGGUCACUAGAUGUAACACCUCGGAUUUCAAAAAGAAAUAAAGAGAAAUUUGUUCAAGUCACCCAUCAGUUUUUAGUUUUGGGUCAACUUCAAUCGAUCAUAUCUUUUAGCACAUAAAGAAUUAGGUGACCCAUCACCUAUCAAAUCGAGGGUACCUAUCAAAUCGAGGGUCUUUGAGUCCUCUUUUCAACGCCACCAAUUUACCUCAAUCCGAGUUUUGAGCAGAAAGAUAUUACUGAUUUACUAGAGACACUCUAACUUGGCAGCAGCUCUGCGAUAGCUCCGUGUUACGGAGUUAAUACGGACCUCACUGUCCGCUAGAAAAAUAUCCCUACUUCCAACUCGUUUAUUUUUUUAAGGGUAUUUUAGUCCUAAAACCCCUUAGGAAGUCAUCUAAAUUACCCUAAACAUGUAGAAAAUCAGUUUUCAUAAUCAACCCCUCUCAUUCACUCCUAAAAUUCUACGCUCAAGAAAUUCAAGAAAACGCUAAGGCUAGGGUUCACCUUCCAAGAUUUUCCUUCAAGUUUCUUCACGAACAUUGUUCUUCCAGGUAUGUAAGAUUUCAUAGUGUUGGGCUUGUUCACCCUCACGCCAAUCAUGUAAAUUUUUACCCAUGAAUUCGUUCUUGAAGUUAAUUGAUUGAGUUCUUGAGUUUUAGCUAUCAAUGGAGGUCUUUGAGUUCAUGAAGUGAGGGUUUUACGAAUGAGUUGAGUCUCUUGAUAGAUUUUUGUGUGGGUUUCAUUGAAAAUGUACUGGGAUUAUGAAAUUCUGUGAAUUUGGACAAGGAAUUGCAUUGUGGAUAAAUUGAAUCGAGUUUAGGAGAGGAAGAAAAGGAUGGCCAAAUAAUUGAGCUCAGUGCCAUGUCGCAGAGAUGUUUUAAAUUUCCACCUUCAGAUGAUCACCCCCUCUCCGCAUCGCGGAGAGGAUACAGAGUCCUCUGUCUCAAAAAUCUUUUCUCGACCAAAAAAUUAAAUCCCCUUCCGUGUCGCGCCAGUGCUUCUUCAAAACGUGUUUUCUCCAUCUUUUAUUUCUAACUAUCUAAGCCUUCAUUAAUCAUUAAGAGAUCCUAUAUCCAAAUCAUAGAUCUUAAAUUUACUUUUUCAAAUUAAAGUUAAGUUAAGAGGAAAGUUCAAGAGGUCCUUUUAAGUCAUUUUGAGUUGUGUCGUUCAUGUCCAUAAUUCCGCAUGAACCCUAUGAAUUGAGUAUUCUUGAGAUGAGAAGUAUUUUUGUGUUCUGAGUUCUGAGUAUUGAAUUUCUAUAUUGUUAUUGAGAUCCUUGAGUUGAUUCUAUUCAUGUAUAUAUUUUCAGCAUGAAUCUUAUUUUGAGUUAUAAGUCUUUAAAGUCUUUGAAAGUCAAUCAUUCUGUCUUAAACUGAGUUUUGAGGAAAAGUUUAAAGAGACAGUUUUGAGUAAAGUUUAAGGGAACUAAGUAAUCCCAAAUGUAUUAUAUUUACAUUGAGAAAAGAGAAACUUUGAUUUCUAAAAAGAGUUUAUGAGUUUAAAGAUAUUUCAGAGAAGUUACCUCUUUUAAGAGGAUAGUUUGAUCAAUUAUCUCAAACUAGAGGAAGCAUGUGUUUUUAAACAUGGAGCAUGAGUAUGUAUUAUUGGGAGUAGUAUUGAGCACCGAUAUGGGGAUGAGUCCAGACAACUCACAUUUCUCAUAAACCAUGUAUGCGAACAUGGGUACAAGAUCAUACUUUUUAGAUGAAUCCUAAGUGCCUUCAGGAAAAGCUUAGUGGAUCCACUUAGUUGAGGUGUUCUAUACCCCGACAAGAUAUAGAACAGUUCUGGCAGCGUGGGCGAGACGUUGUAUCAUCAUAAAGCUCAUAGUGAUGGUUGUCGGUUAGAGAAUCUCCCAAAUAAGAGUAAAGCGUAUUUUAUUGUAUAUUUAUACAACACUGAGUUUUAUCUCCUGUUUCAUAAUGUUUUAAAUAUUGCACUUAUCAUUAUUGCUUUGUAUUGGGUUGAGUUGAGGUGAGUAUUUCUUCCAGCCUUGUCAGUUCAGUUAGUUAUUGCUCUCACUCUUCCCCUUACAUACUCGUACAUUCAAUGUACUGAUGUCAUUCGACCUGCAUCAUUUUAUGAUGCAGAUACAAGUGCUCAGGAUCAUCAACAGGAAUUUCGUUGAGAUCAUUUGACCUUCCUGUCAUCUUUGGUGAGCCUUCUUAUAUUUCGAAGGACUUCACCUUUACCUUACAGUUAGUAGUUUUGAGAUGUUGUGGGUCUUGUCCUGAUAUCCUUUUGUAAUAGUAGAGGCUUCAUAGAUAGUUUAAAAGUUGAGGAGUCUCACAUUAUUUGUUGCUGAGAUGUUUUUGAGGUCAUGAGACUGUUAACUAAAACUUGUUAAAUUAUUUUCAGACAGUUAUUAAAGUUGAGUUCAAAUUGAGUUUUUAAAGUUUAUUUGUGCAUUUGGAGUUCCUAUUUUGCUCGAGUUAGUUUUCCGCUUGUAAUCAUCCAGGAAGAGGGUUCGCUUGGGGACCAACAAUGGUUCUUGAGUGUCGGCACAUCUAGGGUGUAGGCUCGGGUCGUGACAAACUUGGUAUUAGAACCAGGUUUCAAGUGUCCUAGGGUGUCUAUGAAGUAGUGUCAAGUAGGAUCUUAUUUAUGGUUUUGAGGGCCUCACUUCUAUAAAUAAGGGACUACAAACAUUUAGGAAAAGUUUCGCUUCUUUCAUACUCUAAAUCGUGCAAUAGAGCUAAGUCAUAAGGAACUUAUUCAAACUCAUACAUUUCUCAGAUUCAUUCGACUACUCCUCAUACUCAAGGUAGUUGAAAAGAAAAGCCCAGAUCCUUAUCGAUGAGUUACUCUCAACAAAAGUCUUGAGGAGGUCAUGAGACAGUUAACUAUAACUUGUUAAAUUAUUUUUAGACAGUUAUUGGAGUUGAGUUCAAAUUGAGUUUUUAAAGUUUAUUUGUGCAUUUGGAGUUCCCAUUUUGCUCGAAUUAGUUUUCCACUUUAAGUUAGCCACGAUGAGGGUUCGCUUGGAUACUAACGAUAGUUAUUGAGUGCUGGCUAUGUCUAGGGUGUAGGCUCGGAUCGUGAAAAAUUGCUUGAAUUUUUGUCUCUUUAAACUUGCUAAUGUGCAUCGAUUGUUGUAAACCGUGAUGAGACUUGUGAUUUAAAGCCCAUGGGAAAUAGUUCUGUCUAGUGAUAUAAAGCUGAUGGGAAAUAGUUUCGGCUAGUGAUAUAAAGCUGAUGGGAAAUGGUUUCGGCUAGCGACAUGAUAUAAAGAUGAUGGGAAAUGGUUCUAAUUAAUGAUAUGAUAUAAAGCCGAUGUGAAAUGGUUCCGGCUAGUUAUAUGAUAUAAAGUCAAUGGGAAAUGGUCCCGAGGAGAGUUUGAUUAUUGCGGUUUGAUGCAUUUUGAUGCUUAAAUGUUUGACUUACUUGUUAACUGUGAUUGAUACACUUGUUACUUGUGAUUGAUCUACUUGACAUUGAGACUUACUUACUUGAUAUGUGUUGGUUGCUAAAUUGUAACUAUUGGACAGUGAUUAUUGAGCCUUGUGAGUGGUGUAUUGUAGAACUAUUAGGUUGGGUUGAUUUCUAUGCAGGUUGUAGUUUGAGGAGGUUUGGUUGGGAUGAAAGAAGUAUUUGAUUUCUAGCUAGUUGCCUUGUUUAUUAUGUUGCUUUCUUGGUAUCGUGUUGUUGGUACUCACUCUUUGCUUCUACACUUGUGUAGGUUUCAAUCUCGGUAUUGUGUGAUUGCACUUCCUCUCCCAUCUUCGAGGUUUGUCAAAGAACUGUUGAGAGGUAUCUACCUAUCAUCCCGAUGGGCCCUCUAGUUCUUUUUUUUGUGCUUUGUUCUAUUUGAAAAACAAAAAAUUGAGACUUGUACUUAUUUCUUAAUUCCGCAUUUUAUAUAUUAGUGGUUUGUACACGUGACAACCAGGUUUUGGAGUGUUAAUAGAAUGAAUAAGUUUUCUGCUUUUAUCUUUCCGCUUUUCUUUCGUUUCGUUGGGUUGAGGCUGACUUGUGUUAUUGGGAAUAGACAAGUGUCAUCACAGCCAUUUUUGGAUUGUGACACUUGCAUUCUUAGUAUUCAAAUAUUAAUCAAAUCUUGUGGCACACUUGCAUAAAUAAUUAGAAUUAGUAUAAUUAGGUAAAUAGUCAAUCGACAAGCUCUUUGGGUUCGAUAAUUCAACUAUCUUUUAGAACCACUAUAUUACUUGUGCGAUCACGUAUACUUGGGUGUGCAUUUGGGAGUAUAUUUCUGAACCCUAGACCCAAUUAAAUACUAGCCAAUUUUAGAGUAUAUUUUCUUUAAAGAUAUGUAUGGUAGGCGGCUGAACUUUUUUGAUUAAGUCCUCCGAUUAUAGCUCAAAAUAAAUUAUACUAGCCUUGUGGUUGAUGAACUUGGAAAAUGUGCCAUAGUAUUGUUCUUUAACCCUUUAAUCUAUCCUUUUCCCUAAUCAUAACCGCUUGUUGAACAAAAAACCCAACUCAACAUUCUUUGGCUUUUUUCGAAAGCUCCAUCUCUCGAUAAAGCAACAAACAUUUGCUACUUUUGAGGUGAGUUAGUAUUUAUUACGUGCUUAGCCUUAUAUUUUUCUUGAAAUCUGGGUUCUCUUUUGCUGCUUGUUUUGUAUUCCAACCUUAAGCUAUUUGUUAUAAGUGUGAUUACUUGAUGUCUUAUGAAUGUUGGUUCAAUGUUGUAUAUUUUUGUUCUUGUACAAGGUUAUUCUUUUAAAAUCAGUAAACCCCAUUUCAUUUUUCAUGGGGGUUUGCGCUUUAUUGGUCCUCGUUUGGUAAUUCUUGAAAAAGGAUCCGCUCUUUGUAACUGAGUAGUAUUGAGAGUUCUCUUGAAUUAAGGUUAGUUUAUCUUUGGAUUUAGAAAAAAUUUGUUUGUGUUUCAUUUGGGGUUGUGGUUUGAUGUUGUUUUAUCAUUGUUUAUAUGGUCAUUCGGAGCUAAUCUUUGCAAAAAGCUCUUCUUUCUGUCUAAUAUUCUCAGUUACAAUCUUUUCUGUUUGUUCGACCGGAAAAAUCCCUUUGUGUCUUACUCCUUUAUCUUUUAUUUUUAUUUUAUGUCAUGAUAUUGCGAAGAUCUAUUGUGUUGAAUGUGUAGUAUGCAGUUUAGAUCUUUUUUUUAUCCUUUUCUUCCCUUUACAUUUUCCCCUUGUGCAUUUAUAUUGUGAUCCUUAGUAUCAUGCAUGUUUGGUAUUCGUAUUAAUGUAGAUGCAUUUUUCAACGUAGAUACGUUUUGUGUUGUUCUUUGAUGUUCGGGUAGAUGCCAAUUAAUUACUAGCCUAGUUUAGAACCUCUAAUUAUAGCUCGGGAUCAUUUAUACUAGUCUUUGAUCUGAUGUAUUUGGUAAAUGUUGUCAUAAUAUCUUUUUCAUAUUUCAUCAAUGAAUUCUUUUUCUUCUUGAUGAUUAUAUGCACUUGAAGAAUUUAAAGCUUGUGUGCUCAUAAAGAUUAAGAUUACACCUGAUAGAUGAUCUACCCCAUAGCCACCUAUGGAAUUGUGGUCCUUGAACGUCCUUGUUUUUAGCUAUAUACAAUUGGAUCUAUGUAGAAAGAAUCUUAUAAAUUAUGUUUAGCUUAACUUAAAUCUUCUAUGCAUUAUAGUAAAUUUAACUUCCCUUAUCUUGUAGAUACCCCGACAAGUGAAAAGAGAAGAAGUGCCUUAAUGGCUGGUCACAUAUCUGAUGAUGACUCUGAAAAUAUAACCUGAGAAGAUCCUUCAAUGCAAGAACCUAGGGGGAGUAGAAGUGCCGUUGAGAGUGACCAUUCUAGUAUCAGAAAUAUAAUGACUGGUAAUCAGAUUGCAAAAGCCAAACCACCAACUCAGGUGAAGUUCAAAAUAAAAUUCCCAAGCACAUGGAAGUUGAAAUUCAAAUUGUUAAGCCUUAUUAUAGGUUGUCUUUUGAAGUUGAUGACAACUUAGUGGUUCUUUGCCACGAUAGUGGCAUGAAAGGUUCUUGGUUCAAGUAUAAGGUUAUACAUGUAUCACAAAAAUAUCUGAAAGUUCAAUAUGAUGCCAUCUAGGAUUGUGAUGGUCCUUAAUAGCUCGAGGUACCUUAACAAUUGUGACUAUAACUUAAGUUUGUAUACUAUAAUAUAUGAUCUACUUGCAUUUAUUAACUUGUCCAUUCUACCAUCACCAUGUUUCUUCAUCACCUUUGUUUGAUUUAUAGGAAUGGAUUCCUUCCUACUGAGUUGGAGGAUGUGAUAAAUUGGGCAUGAGAUGCACAGGACACAUCACAGUUCAGACCCAGCCUCUGGAGGAUUAUUCUGAGUAUUCUUUAGAAUAGAAGUUGUAGUUGAUGCUUGGUGAUCUGACGGGUGAUGGGAAGGUGUUGUUGUUGGAUUUGCUGUUUGUGGAAGCGCUAAUCUUCAGGUUUGCUUCUCUAGUAAGAAAUAAUAGUCCCAAAAAACUAAAAAAACUAAAAUAGAAUAGAAAAUAAGAAAUAAAAAGGGAAUUCUUAUUUAUCGAUUGAUGCAUUGCAACUUUGCAUAAGGAUAACUCAACAACCAAUGGAUGUAAAAGUAGUCUCUAAUAAUUCCUAAUUCUACCUGAAAUCAUAUGUCUAAGCUCAGUAUUGUCAUAUAUUGGCUUUCUAACUCAGCAAUGGAAAAAGUUUUAAACAGUAGGGCUAGCUUCUGGCUAGUUUGUUGUCCGGAAUUUUGAGUGUCCGAUGUUGGUUAUGGCCUAAUGCCUCAAGGUACUUUUUUUCUCAAUAAUAGGGGAGAACAUAUUAUUGGAGAUUCAAUGGAAGAACGUGAGGGCGUGAAGAGAUUGGUGUAGGCCUACUAUUUAAAACAUUUUCCACUGUUGAGUUAGAAAAUCAAUUUAUGUCAAUGUGAGAUUAGAUAUACAAUUUCAUGUAAGAAUUUAAUAUAAUUAGAGACUCCAAUUUUACAUCCAUUGGCUGUUGAGCUAUUCUAACGCAAUAUUGCAAUGCAUCAACCGAUAAGCAAAAAUUCUCCUUUUAUUCCUUGUUUUCUAUUUCUAUUUUAACAUUUUAGUUUUCUUGGGACUGUUAUUUCAUACCAGUGAAGUAAACCUGAAGAUGACCGCUUCCAUAGACAUCAAAUCCAUCAACAACACCUUACCACCACCCGUCAGAUCACCAAGCAUCCACUGCAGCUCAUUAUUCAAAAGAAUAGUCAAAAUAAUCCUCCAGAAGUUGGGGCCGAACUGUAAGGUGUCAGGUGCAUCUCAUGCCCAGUCUAUCAAAGCCUACAACUCUGUAGAAAGGAAUCCAUUCCUAUAAACCAAGCAAAGGUAAUGAGGAAAUAGGGUGAAGGGAGAGCGGUCAAGUCAAUAAAUGUUAGUAGAUCAUAAUUAUAGUAUAUAAACUUAAGUUAUAGUUGCAGUGGUUAAGGUACCUUGACCUUUCCAAGACCAUCACAAUCUUGGAUGGCAUCAUAUUGAACUUUCAGACGUUAAUUUUGUGAUACUUGUAAGACCUUGCACCUGAGCCAGCAGCCUUUCAUGCCACUAUCAUGGCAAAAAGAAGCUCUAAUUAAUUUGUCACCAAGUUCAAAAGACAGCUUAUAUUGAGGCUCAACAAGAUGAAUUCCAACCAGUCCUAUGCUUGGAAAUUUUAUUUUUAACUUCAGGUAAGUUGAUGGUUUUUCUUUUGCUAUCUGGUUACUAGGAAUUGAUUCUCCAAUACCAUAUUGUCCACUCUCACCAACACUUCUAACAACAAUAGACUAACAUAUCGCCCCUCGUCCAAAAUUCCAUGGAAAACAACUCUGAGCAAUCGGUGGGUAAGUUCACUGGGUAUCCAACGCAACAAUUUCUUGAGAAGCAGGAAGAGCAGUUGGAGAGUAAAAUAGAGUAUAAGGUUGGAGAUGCACUAAGUAAUCUCAUUGAGUGUAAAAUGAAUACUUGAUAAAUAUCAUUAAGUGGUGUUGAAAGAAUAGUUUUAAAUUUUUGCUGUAAAAUAAAUUAUAUAUCUAUUUGCGUGAAAUAAAUCAUCUUAUUCUUUUUACAUGAAAACCUAAUGUGAGGGCGGCCAUUGGGAUAUCUAUAAUUGAAAUAUUUUUCUUCACGAAUCAUCAAUAUUUUACUCAAAGUAGUUAUAAAUUUACACAAAUAUCAACGAUAUUCGAAGUAAUAAAGCUAUAAUUAAAGGAUAUGAAUUUAAAAGUAAAAAACAUACAUAAAACGGGUCUCACAAUUUCAAAAAAAUUAUACACUAAUUAAAUUAAAGUGGAAUCAAAAUAACAUUUUUUUCAAUUUUGCCGGUAUCUAGAUAUGUUCUAUAUCAGUCAAAAUUGCUAUUCAAAAAGGCGAAGCAAUUAUUAUAAUAAGUUAAGAGUCGUCUGCGCCAUGCUUUAUUAUUGGGAAUUAGUCCACAAAAUUAUUAUUUGUUUACUCUUCAGAUAAGCUGAAUUUAUUUGACUCCUAAAAAUGAUCAAUAAUGACAUGGCACCUUUCAAAUUUUGAGAGUCGAGAGAAUUUAUCUAUAUUUUGAUUUUUUUUUCAUAGGUUUAAAUUCUCAAUUAUUGUGAUUAAUAGUAUGUUUUCAUGUUUGAAUUUACGAUUAAAAUUGAAAAGUUUGACUAUCAAAAUUUAAAGUAUGUCAUAUAAAUUGAGACGGAAGAAAUAGUGAACAUUUAGCAGUUUGAAGCUUAUAAAACAACUCACUUCAAUUGAGGUUUGAAGAAUCAAUAUCCCAAAAUGCAAUUGGUUUCCAUUUUCCUUUUCAUAUCUUUCCUCUUUUUGUUAAGGAAAUGGAAAAAGUAUUUAAACAAUAGCCAAACCAAAAAAUUGCCUCCAGGUCCAUGGAAACUUCCUUUUAUAGGAAGUAUGCAUCACCUGGCUGGUGGACUUCCACACCGCGUUCUUAGAGAUUUAGCUGAAAAAUAUGGACCACUUAUGCACCUUCAACUUGGUGAAGUUUCUGCAGUUGUGGUUACAUCUCCUGAAAUGGCAAAACAGGUAUUAAAAACUCAUGACAUUGCUUUUGCAUCUAGGCCUAAACUCUUGGCCAUGGACAUUAUUUGUUAUAAUAGACGCGACAUCGCCUUUAGCCCCUACGGUAAGUGUGAGGGUUACAUUUGAUAUGUUUUUUCUCACUGUCUUAUCUAUUGUCGUACAAGUUCUGAUGAUUUCAAUUCUAAUAGGUGAGUACUGGAGACAAAUGCGUAAAAUUUGUAUCAUGGAAGUAUUGAGUGCAAAGAAUGUCCGGUCAUUCAGCUCGAUCAGGCAUGAUGAAGUUGUUCGUCUCAUUGACUCUAUCCAGCCAUGUUUUACUUCUGGUGAGCUGGUUAAUUUUACGGAAAGGAUCAUUUGGUUCACCAGUUCCAUGACAUGUAGAUCAGCAUUUGGACAAGUACUAAAGGAGCAAGAAGUAUUUAUAAAGUUAAUUAGAGAAGUAAUAAGCUUAGCAGAGGGAUUUGAUGUGGCUGACAUCUUCCCUUCAUACAAAUUUCUUCAUGGUUUUGGUGGAGCGAAGAAAAAACUUCUAAAUGCCCAUCGUAAGGUAGAUUCAAUUGUUGAGGAUGUCAUCAAAGAGCAUAAGAAGAACAUUGCAACUCGCAAAAGUGACGAUGCAAUAGGUGGUGAAGAUCUAGUUGAUGUCCUUCUAAGACUUAUGAAUGAUAAAAGUCUUCAAUUUCCAAUCAACAACGACAAUAUCAAAGCUGUUAUUAUUGUAAGUAUUGAAUAUAUACUAUGCUUAUUCUUACUUAUUUAAUUUACUAUUAUAACUUGGCCAUUAAUUGCAGGACUUGUUUGCUGCUGGAACAGAGACUUCAUCAACAACAACUGUAUGGGCUAUGGCUGAAAUGUUGAAAAAUCCAAGUGUAUUCGCCAAAGCUCAAGCAGAAGUGCGAGAAGCCUUUAGAGACAAAGUAACGUUCGAUGGAAAUGAUGUGGAAGAGCUGAAAUACUUAAAGUUAGUCAUUAAAGAAACAAUGAGACUUCAUGCUCCAGUUCCACUUUUGGUCCCAAGAGAAUGUAGGGAAGAAACUGAAAUAAAUGGAUACACUAUCCCCGUGAAGACCAAAGUCAUGGUUAAUGUUUGGGCAUUGGGAAGAGAUCCGAAAUAUUGGGAUGAUGCAGAAAGCUUUAAGCCGGAGAGAUUUGAGCAGUGCUCUAUAGACUUUAUUGGUAACAAUUUUGAGUAUCUUCCGUUUGGUGGAGGGAGAAGGAUUUGUCCCGGGAUAUCAUUUGGUUUGGCUAAUGUUUAUUUUCCGUUGGCUCAAUUGCUUUAUCACUUUGAUUGGAAGCUCCCUACUGGAAUGGAGCCAAAAGACUUGGACUUGACUGAAUCGGCUGGAAUUACUGUUGCUAGAAAGGGUGAUCUUUACUUAAUUGCCACUCCUCAUCAACCUUAAUGGCAUCAACUUUUUAAAUUUUCCUUUGUCAUUUUAUUUCUUGUCUUUUAAUCAAAUAAGAUUGUAUCCGCGUGACAGUUACCCUCAUGUCUGGUCUGUCGAAUAACAUUUUUUGUAACAAUUCAAAAGGGGUAGAAUUUCUGUUAAUUUUGGGUAUAAAUUGACAAAUAAAAGAAGGCAAGAGGAGGAUGGGAGCUGAGGAUUGUUUGUUAUGUACUUGAAUCAGAUUUGUAAGAAAUUAUAUCUCGUGGGAAUAUGUAUGUGAUCAAGAAAGUGUCUUCAGUGCAGCACUAUAACAAUGAUCACAAGUUUUUCAGUGAUUUGUAGGAUUCUAGAUAUAGUAAAAUGUGAUUUGUAAUGUAUUUAUUUGCAAGUGCUUAGUCCUUGCAGAAACAAGAUUUUCAGCCAAGCAAAUCGCUGAUUGAUUGUCACAAUACAAGGUAACUGAGUACCCAACUGGUUGCUGUAAAUCCUGCAUCAACUGCAUAAGCCACGUACUUUAUUGAGCUGCAACUGUUGCUGCCCGAUAGUCUGCUUCAGUUGUUGACAGCGACACUGUUGGUUACCUUUUUCUUUAUUGUCAUUUUUCAUAAUCGUACCCUAACAUAUAUAUAUUCAAUUUAUCCAACAUUAACAAAUUGUUAGAAGGUGAUAAAACUAAUUAUAGUGGAGGAGAAACAGAUUUUACAAAGCAUUUUUCGUUCUUUAAGGUUAACUUUUGCAUUGUCUUCCUUAAUUUUUGUAUUUUCGUUGAAAAUGGCGCGAAGAAUCCAGAGGUGUGUCGUCGGGGGUACGUGAUGAAGUAAUCGAGGCACAAUCAGAUAAGUACAAGAACAUCAUCCCGAAUCAGGGGUAUUUGGGCCAGCUACCGAUCACAUUAAAAGUUUGGGGGCCCUAACAGAUAAGUACAAGAACAUGACUCCUCAUCCCGAAUCAGGGUAUUUGGGCUAGACACCGAUCACAUUAUGAGUUUGGAGGCUCUAAAUUUCCUUCUUUUUUUUCUAAAAGAGGGGGGUUCGAAUUGACAACUCUAACGUGUAAAGCAUUUCCACGGUUUCUUCCUUACCACUGAACCAUCAAUCAUUUUUGUUAGAGGUUCAUAAGUUAAUAUACAUAUAUUUAUUAAUUUUUUAGUUCAAAUCCAUGGUCUACGGAAAAAACUAUUGAUUCGUCUGAAUCCACGAACCCCCACCUAGUUCUACCUUUGAUGGUGAAUAUGGUGCCCAUUUCUCCACAGUGGAUUUUGUGUUGGAACAAAAGACAUUCUUUCGCAAUAUUGAAGAUCUGGAGAAGCCAAUCAAGAUGCAUAAGUAACUCUCUCUUCCACAGUUCCACUAACCAACAUUCCACAAUUUGUCCCCAUACUCCUUUAGGGAAGCAGGUGGAAGAUGUCUAUAUUAUUUGGAUUCUUAAAAAAAUGUCAAUCGAUGCGUGUCAGCUUUUCUAAAAGUAGUGUAUUAUUAGAUAAUCCGAGAUGAAUGCAGCAUCAAAAGUGAAGAGACCGCACAACUUAGGGGGUUGCAGCCUACGGGGAAAGAAAAGUGGAGUGGACAAAGCCCCAUGUACAAAUAACAUCAAAUACAAUGAAUGAUAAGUGAUGUUGCAUAAAAAUGUCGAUAGUGCAAUUGCUCUCAUCAGUACUUUCAGUCCAGAGAUUCAUGACAGUAUCCUCAAUAAAGAGAGACAUGGCGCCAAUCCUAGCUACAAGUAGGGGUGGUAAUUGGGCGAGUUGGGUUAAAGUUGGGCUGGUCAAAAUGGGUUAGGUAACAGAUUAUAAACAAACAAUUUUAUUAAGGAUAUCCAAGAAUAAUGGUGUGUGACUGUCAAAAUAAAACAAAUAAAUUGUGUUAUUUGGGCAUCAAACCCGAAACUUCUUCAUUCAAAUAGACACAUAUUAUCACUAUGACAAAGGCAUAGCUUUUGUCAUCGGUGUCCAACUUUAAAUAUAUAUACUUUAAAUGUAGAAUUUAGCAUAUAUAUACAACAUAAUUUUCGCACAAAGGGUGUCCAGUUGGACACUCUAGGAUAGCUCUAGCUACGGCCCUGCUAACGGGUCAUAACCCAACCCGCCCAAAUUUUACUAAGUUUUAAUAGUUUUAUUUGUUAUUUUAUUAACUUUUAGUACUUAGUAAUUUUUUUUUACUUUAUUAUAACUAAAUAUAACAUAUAAAAAAAUUAAAAAUAUUUUGACAAGAUUUCUCAAAAAUCAAUUUAGGUUACCUAUCAACCCAAUUUUUAAUGGGUUGGAUUUUGAAAUGAGUUGAACUAAUAAAUGGGCGGGUCAAUAACCAACCUAACCUAAAUGGAUUGGUCGGGUUGGAUUUGAUUUUGCCACCCUUACUACAAGUAACAUUAAGAACCAAUUAGUUACCAUAAGAGAUUCUUGUGAAACACAUCAAAAUAGCUUUAUGAGAUUAACACAAUCACUACUAUCAAUGGUGCCAACAAAUGUACAAUGGCGUACGCAUAAUUUUUCGUAAGCGGUGUCGAUAUUUAAAAAUUAAUAAAUAAUAAAUAAUUGAUAUAAUAAUAUUAUAUUAAUAAAAACCAUUUAAAACAUACUAAUAAAACGUAAAUCAAAUAAACUACUAAACUUUCCUCGACGAGUUUUCAUAUUUUGAAAUGUAUUUAUAAUAGACUCAUUGGAGAUAAUAUUAAGUACUAAAUAUUCUAAGUGCAAUUGGAUUAUUUUAGCUUAAUUUGACUAUAAAUAGGAGAUUGGAGGUUCGAAUCCCUAUAAUAUUAAAAAAAAUAAUCUGAAAAUGUCUCAAAAAUAAAAGACAAUUCGGCCUCACUAAGGCUCAAUCUUGGGCCACGCCGGGUGAAUAACCAUUCAUUUCACGCUGCAAACCAACAAGCCAAGAGGCUCAAUUGUUCAGGUAAUGUCAUUAAUGUUAUUUGUAAGGAAAUUUUUAUUUUUUCACUUUUAUAUAUAUAAAAUACUAAAAAAUUUCAACGAGACAGUGCCGAUCAGCACCCCGUGACAUAGGGUGGAUCUGCCACCGACAAAGGUAGUAAAUUGCUACACAUCAUUUCAGACAAUUAAUUGAUUACACAUCCAACAUGGAACACAAAUGUACAUUUUCUGGUUUUCACUCUUAUGAUCUCAUUGAUUUUCCUAACAUCUUUCACAAUCGGUACACUAUCAAUAUAAUUGAUCUGCUUAAAAUUGGGAUCAGAUCAAUAUUGACAUUUUUACUUUGAGAUGCAUCCACUUUACAAUCGAUACAGUAGAAAUGUGUCAUUUUUUUUAUCAAUUAAAAAGAAAAGUAAGUAAUAUAAAAUUGAACAGAAGGAGUAGUAAAAAAUGAAGAAAGCUAAGAGGUAUUUAAAAGGAAAAGGAGUUAAAAUGUAAUUUUAUAAACUCAGGAGUUGAAUUUAAAUUUGAAGUAUUUUGGAGGGUUGGAUACACAUUUUGGACUUUUGGCCAUUAGUGCAAAAAAGUUGUUCACAUAUCACAUCCCUAACAAGGAAAUAGUUGGAAAUUAGUAAGAUUGUGAGUCCUUGAGCACAUGGAGAUAUAAUGAAUUAAAUUUAAAAUUCAAGAACAAAACAAAAGGUGGUUGUUAAAAAGGGAUCCAAAUGAAUGAAAUACAAUUUUAUUUCAUUUUGGGAUAAUAAGACUUAAAAUAACUCUUUAUUGGGAUAGCCUUUUUUUUUUUGUUAAAAGAAAAGAACUCAAAAAUUGUAAAAAUUGCAUUUAUGUUAUGAUACCCUGUCUGGAUAUGUUAUAUGAAAUCAUGAUAUUAAAAUCAGAUUAAUUUUCAGUUGACAUUUUAUUUGAACGUACAAGUUAUAUUUUUUUUCUUAAACAUAAAAAUCUUUGUGAAAAUUAUCAAACUUCCUCCGAUUCUUAAUAUGCAUGGCAACUACUCCUAUACAUACAGAUUAGGCAUUGGCUGUCAAAAGUGGAUGAAAUAAAUGUUGAAUAUGACUUAAAAGAAGAUUCAUCAUUUGUUUUUGUACUUGUCAGCAAAUGCCUACUUGCCUAGCUUCUUUUGUUUAAUUCUAAAAAUGGCAAUAUUUCACUCGUCUCUAAUUCAUAAUAGCCAAUGACACUAGUCAACAAUUCUAGUAAUUAACUAUGUAUUCUUUUCUUAUGGUACGAAUAUUUCUUUACGUUGAACAUGAGUUUUUUUUUAUAUAAAAUUUAAAAUGGAUUUUUUUUUAUAAAAUAUGAAUUUAUGAGUCAAAUUUAUAUUAUUUUUUAAAAAAAAACAUAAUUUUUAGAAAAAUUGGGAUUUAGCCAUGAAUUUUUUUUCACUUUUACUCAAAUUCUUUUUCACUUUAUUUGAAAAUCAUUGUUUAACCAUGAAAUUUACAAAUACAAUUUGAGAUUAUAUAUGAAGAACAACCAAAAUUUUGUUUUCACUAUAUUUUUCCUUUUCAAAACUUUUUGUAAAUAUAUAUUCCUAUUUAAAUUGUAUUUUAUAUUUAAAUCAUGUUUCAUGUUUCUUUAGAAAAAAUACAUUCAAAAAAUCAAAUAUUAUUUAUAAAAAUUGUAACCAAAAUAUGCCACUAGGUUGUUGCAUAUCCCACUUGGUGCCAAACCAGAAGCUUAUAAAAUAGGACACUCAAUUGAGGAUUGAAUAAUCAAAUAUCCCAAAAUGCAAUUGAUUUCCAUUUUUCUUUUCAUAUGUUUCCUCUUUUUGUUAAGGAAAUGGAAAAAGUACUCAAAAUAUAGCCAAACCAAAAAAUUGCCUCCAGGUCCAUGGAAACUUCCUUUUAUAGGAAGUAUGCAUCACCUGGCUGGUGGACUUCCACACCGCGUUCUUAGAGAUUUAGCCAAAAAAUAUGGACCGCUCAUGCACCUUCAACUCGGUGAAGUUUCUGCAGUUGUGGUUACAUCUCCUGAUAUAGCAAAACAAAUAUUAAAAACUCAUGACAUCGCUUUUGCAUCUAGGCCUAAACUCUUGGCCAUGGACAUUAUUUGUUAUGAUAGGUGCGACAUUGCCUUUAGCCCCUACGGUGAGUUUAAGGCGUUUGCCUAAUAUAAUAUUUUCACAAAAUAUUUCUCAUAAUUGGUUUUACAUGUGUUGAUAAUAAUUAGGUAGUAUCUUUAUUUUAUUGUGUCCUACCAAGUUCGUCCUUAUAACAUAAGAAAUUUGGUAAGAGUAAAUUAUAUUAAAUAUCUUUAGAAAAACUCUAUUUAUAAAUGAAAGUGUUAUAACGCGUUUAUUUCAAAUAUGAAAGACGAAAAAAAAAGAAAAUAAUAAUGAUGAGUGAUGAAGUACUAUAAAUAAAUGUCAGCUUUAGAAGCUAAGAUGCAAAUAUUGCAUGAGAAUUUUAGAAGAUAUUCAUUUGAAAAUAAUACUUCAGUAAAUUAUUUUCAAUUAAAAGACUAAUAUAAUGAAGUUUAGUACUUUAAAAUAAGCUUUCUAAUAUAUAACAUAUAAUAUAUAGUAAUAUAUUAAUAUAUGAAGUAAUAUUUCCUUUGUACUGAAAGGAUAAUUCGUUACAUGAUUAUUGUUUAGUUUGAAUAAUAAAUCGACUUGGACGGAGUAGUAUUUAUAGCCAACAAAAUUAAAUUUAAAAUUGACCUGAAAAUCUGAAAAAUUAAUCUUGAAACUUCAAGCAUUGUCAAUAAUAUGUAUAAGAAACUCUCUGAGCAUCAACAAACUUCUAAUUAAUCCAAUUAUGUUUAUCUAGCAUUCUAGCUAAGUUCUUGUUUUUAAAGAGAUAAUUACGAUUUUGUAUUUAUUUUUAUUUGAAUUACUCAAAUGCAUUACAAUCUUUCAAUGAAUUAAUAUAUGUUUAAAGAGUAAAAGUUAAAGGACGUUCAACUUUUGAUACAUUUUGAUAAUUCAAUUUUUUAUCUUUAAAUUUUUUUACUUAGAAUAGUAUAGAUAUAUAUGAUAUUUGAGAUAUAGACAUAAAUUAAGAGGAUGUUGUCUAGUAAAAUAGCAUUUGUAGAGGUUUUACCAUUUUUAUUUGCUAAAAAGUUUAAGUAGUUUUUUUCUUCAAAUUUUUAGUGUGGCUGGUAAGAUUUUUAAAGAAAUUACCCUAAAAUGUUUCGAACAACAUUCAAUAAAUAUUAAAAAGUUAUGAAAUCUCUGCUUAAAACAAUAAUAACAGCAUAUGAUAUGCUAAAACUUGCGAUACUUUAUUAUGUCUAAGGAGAUUAAAAAACACACUUGAAAUGAUAAAAUGACAAAUUAAUGACGAAAAACGUGUACAUCAGUUAGACAGUGCAAUAAGAAUCUUUAUCCAACAUCACAUGUUCUAUUAAUUUAUCAGAAUCACACAAACUUAAAAAAUAUUAUGAAAAGAAAAUUUAUAAAAAUUAAAAUAAAGAAUGAAAGUUAUGGAGAAAAUAUUUGUAAUAUCAAAUCAAUUAAUUAAUGUGGAAAACAACAAAAUACACAUGUCAUCAUAUCAUAAAAAAUGAAAGAAAAAAAAUCAUAGCAAUAUAUCAAUGAAAGAGAGAAAAAAAAAUGCCAAUAAAUAAAAUUACAUCAAAACUAUCUGAAACACAAAAGUGCAGUGAACUAACAUUUUCUAUCCAAAUUAUAAAGGGAGAAAUUGUGUUCAUAUAUAAAAGGUUGUGAAUGAAUGUAUUUAAUGGUAGAAGCUAAAGGGUUAACAAUUAAAGUCAUUAAGAGGUGGGAAAUGGUAAGUGUAACAUCUAAUUACCAUGUAUUUGGUCUAGUUAAAUUAUCAUUAUCGAUUUAAUUUGAAAUUAUUAGUAAAAAGACUUUUAAUUAAAAGAAUUAGUGAAGGACAUUUUUCAUAUUUCAAUUUUGAACUUAAAAGCCUUCCCACAUUUAUAUAUAUCUUUCACACCUCUCAAUUUAUGACGUCCAUAGUCCUUACAAGAGUCUUGUUUAGAGGAGAAAUUAAACCUAAAUUGAUCAUAUGUUGGUUAUUAAUUGACCAAAUUAUCAUGUUACAUUGUAAUGUCUCUUUUGAUAUAUUUUUCUUCAUUGUCUUAUUUAUUGUCAUCCAAUAUUUAUUUUUGUUAGAUUUUUCAUGACACGUGAUAUUAACAGGUGAAUACUGGAAACAAAUGCGUAAAAUUUGUGUCAUGGAAGUACUGAGUGCAAAGAGUGUCCGAUCAUUUAGCUCGAUCAGGUGUGAUGAAGUUGUUCGUCUCAUUGACUCUAUCCAAUCAUCUUCUUCUUCUGGUGAGCUAGUUAAUUUAACAGAAAGAGUCAUUUGGUUCACAAGCUCCAUGACAUGUAGAUCAGCAUUUGGGCAAGUACCAAAGGAGCAAGACAUGUUUAUAAAGCUAAUUAGAGAAGUAAUAAGCUUAGCAGAAGGCUUUGAUGUGGCUGACAUCUUCCCUUCAUACAAGUUUCUUCAUGUUUUUGGUAGAGCCAAGCGAAAACUUCUAAAUGUCCAUCGUAAGGUAGAUGCAAUUGUUGAGGAUGUCAUCAACGAGCACAAGAAGAACUUUUCAACUCGCAAGAAUGAUGAUCAUGCAUUAGGGGGUGAAGAUCUAGUUGAUGUCCUUCUAAGACUUAUGAAUGAUAAAAGUCUUCAAUUUCCAAUCAACAACGACAAUAUCAAAGCUAUUAUUAUUGUAAGUAUCGAAUACUAUAAUUAUUUUACAUAUUUAUCCAUAGCAGAAAAAAAUAAAUUGUAACCUUGCCAUAAAUUGCAGGACAUGUUUGCAGCUGGAACAGAAACUUCAUCAACAACAACUGUAUGGGCUAUGGCUGAAAUGUUGAAAAAUCCAAGUGUAUUAGCCAAAGCUCAAGCAGAAGUGCGAGAAGCCUUUAGAAACAAAGUAACGUU